UUCCAAACACUUAUCAUAUUUUCUAGGGUAAACUUCAAAUACUAUCCAUGCUUUCGCACUUUCUCACUUUAGUACUCUGUGAUUUAAAGUGUAUCUAGUUAGUAUCCAAUGAUUUUAUUUUUAUCUUUUCGUCAGCUUUUCCGCUAAUAUUUCGUUAAAUUAUAUACAAAAAACUUCAGAUACCCCACCUAGAUUUAUCGAAUAUUUGCUUUAGUACCCUUUAGUUUUAACUUUGUUACUUAUUUAACGAAAAAAAUUAGUGAAAUCGAUAAUAAAAAGAUAAAAAUAAAAUCACAGGACACUAAAUUGAUACACUUUAAAUCAUAGAGUACUAAAGUGAGAAAAUAUGAAACCACAUAGAUGGUAUUUAAAGUUUUCCCUAUUUUCUAAUUUGUCAAAUGUUUGUCGUUAGCUUUGCAAACUAGAGAAGCUAUUCCAAAAGCCCAACUCCCAUGAGACACUUAACUAUUGUAUUUGGAUGUAUUAAAGAUCUCAUUCAGUAUAUCCCUUCAAUUUCCUCAAAAAAGAUGUAAUAUUUGGUAGAUGAUGUAUGCGAGUAAUGUCCAGAAUUGAAUAUCAUAUUCGGCCUUCAAGUUAUUUUUUUCGAAAUAACAUAAUCAUCUCAUACAUGAAAUACACCAUCCUAUCAAAUCAAGAUGUCAAGACUUUUCAAGGAGUAAAAAUCAAAGUUCUUGCCUCCAAUCAUACAAGAAAAUUUCCAUAGAGAAUAAGUUAUCACUACAUAUCUUAUUCUAACUUCUAAAUAGGACCUAAAUGUUGUACACAUCAAAAUCAUUGCGAAAAAUUUAUUGCGCGAGAACAUCAAAUUUGCGCAAACAAUAAUAUACUCCGCCCAAGGAUAGAAUGCGGCAAAAAUUGCAGAUCAUAUUGUAGUUUAACCCUAGAAUUUCACUUUGAUUGUCCAUGUCAAUGAUAUCUUAUGUUCUAUGUAAUCAAAUCAUCCUCCUAACUAAAUCAGAUGCUUUUGUGGAGUGUUCAAUCAAACAUAAAGAGCAAUUAUCAACAAGGCAAGGUUUUAGAACCAUUUUUGCGAUAACUAAACUUAUCAAAGGGAAGUAAUAUUCUAGCAAUAAUUGAUCGAUAACAGAUUCACAAAUAGCUGCUCUACAGAAAGAGAGAGAUAAAACAACUCUAGAAACAAACAAAAAAGGGGGGUUGUCUAAGUAAAUUGUACAAAGUGUAAAUCAAAUUGAGUUACCCUAAAAGCAUUCAACUGUGGUAAAAUUAAGCCAUAAGAAUACUAUUCCUCUCGUGUUGUCGAUGUUGUUGCUUGUACUGGCCAUAAACUGUUUAUAAACUGAGCAUGCAAUACUUUGUCAUAUAUAGGGAAAGCAAAAACAAAAUCAUGAAAGAAUCAUUAAUAUACCUGUUUUUUCCUCUCCCUUUAAAGAAAAAGUGUCAAAGGAAAUCUUUCAAAGCAAAUCAUAAAUAUGAAGUAAUCCAAUUUGCAAGGUACGAACAACAAAAGUCGAACUCGGAGAACUCUAAAAUCAAAUCACGGGACAAUAAAACCAUAGGAACAGCUGUGAAACCACUGUUUUCCUUCCUUUAUGUCUCACAGCCAUGAUCAUUAAAAGCCACUAGGUGGGGACAUGUUACCUUUUGUUCUUAGUGUAAGUGCCGUGACAAUGUACAGAAACAUUAGAUGCGUCAUCGCUAUCGGUUUACAGUGAACUAACAACGAGAAAAAUUCAUCGCCCAUCCCAUGCAUUGUCGUGCAUUUAAUGAGAGCCAGCAAAGAGGAAUCAAUAUUCUGACGUAAACUGAACACAUUCGACACGGCAAGUUAUCGAUAGCAACAUGUACCCAAGGAUUAGAAUGUCUCGGUAGUCUUUGUUCAAACAUGAUCUAGGGUUUUUUGUGAGAAGUGCUUAUCAGGAAUAAUUAAGCCAAACUGAGAAGCCAUAUCAAUAAAAAAGCACAACAAAUUUUAUAAGAUAUCUACAAAAUUUACCUCAUUGUAACUUCCAUGAGUGCGCCAUUUGAGUAGCUGACGACCAUUCUCGUGUUAUAUGCUGCAUUACAUGUAAUUAAAAAAACUCUUGACAUGCUACAGAAAAUCCAAAGAGAACUCCCAGGAGCAAUUUUAGGAGUAAAAUCUUGCCAUAAAGGGGGGAAACAUAGCAAGAAGGUAAAAUUUUCAAUGCUAAGCAGCAAUGAAUUUUGGGUAGAAACUCUGAGGUUUAAUGUGACAGAUAAUGUAGAAACAACAUGAAUAAUAUUUAUUUAACCUUGGCCAUUUUAUUGACCACCUCAAUUCCAAUCCACAAGAAUAAGAGCAAAUUUUGCUAGACAAAGAUAAAAGAAGAACGACAGGCUUCUGAAAUGUCAUUUUGAAGCAGAGUAUCUCAAACUACUGCUAUAAUUCAGUAAAAGAAGCUCACGUUUAGUGAAAAAUGACAAAGAAUAUGCAGCAAAGACAAUAUAAGUCGACAAUGUUAGGUAAGCGCAUUCAACUUAAUAAAUCCAACAUUAUUCCAUGGCAUGAAUCUAGAGUCCUACAAAAGCACUUCGAAAUUUGACAGAUUGUGGGCCGGUGGCUCUUAAUGGUGCUUAUUUAAGAGGACUAAGAUGUUAGAUGAGCCCUCACCAUCAAUCAAGUACUUUGAUCACCUUGGCUAUGUAGGCUCUACAUUUAGGUUCAGAGAAUGAGGUUACAAAGAGCACUAUGUUUUGUCCACCCUUAAGCCUGACUAUUAGUUUUUCCUAUGAACCAAAGUUAAGAUGUGUCACAUUCCAAUUUAGGAAUAAACUUCUAUCAAAUAGACACCACCUUGUUAACUUAAUUGACCUACCAAUCACAAACAAUAGCAAGAGUGUAAAGUCUCUAGCCCCAACUAUUUGGUUCAGGUAAAAUUGAAUGACCAAUUUGCGCAGUGUAAAUAUACCCUAUCAAAAUUGAGAAUGGAGAAGAUAAUGAGUAUUAUAUUGCUAUUAUGUACUGUUAUGCUUUACUUAAGAGAAGCAGGCAGAUUUUCCUAUUAAAUUAGAAAACAAAAAGGCAAGAAACGCGAACUCCUUAAGAAGGGCUAAAUUACAUAUAGAUUCAGUAUCACCAGAGUAUGAAUAGAAAAUGCUGCAUUGUAUGACUAAUUUGAUAAUAUACAUACAUUAAGACUAAUCAGAUAGCAAACAAGAAUGUUUUUUUUUGGUACAAUUACAAAUAACUGUUAUUAGCAAAACAUGAAAUAGUAGAGCAAACAACAAUGGUGGAAAUAACCAUCACAGGAGGAAGCUUACAAUUUGAAAAUCACAACACAAAACAGCAGUCUGUCAAAUACACAGCAGCAAUACUAAAAAAUUUCUACAGACAUAAUCAAUUACAUGUUGAAAAAUACUAUUCAACUUCAAAUACCUGAAAAGGACUUGAGGAAAUAAACUCUCUCUAUCAAAACAUUUAACUCAGAUAAUGAUGGCAAUUCAAACAGAUUGAAUUCUCAUACUUGUUCAAUUCUAACUGACGAUAAGAUGGGUUGUCAAAUAUUUUGACAGAGUUAUUUUAUACAAUGAAAAGCAUCAGCUGGUGUUUAUACGUGAAGAUUGACUAGUAGUAUUUGAAUCUGCCCUAACAUUAAAAUUACGGAAGAAAUGCGACAAUCUUGCAAAUUUAAAAAAGCUUGCAAAAGUAUAGUAUCAAAACUUCAGAAAAUGUCCUUUUUAGCCAUGAGACUUCUGCAACCAUAUGAAGUAACUAACCUGAAUUAACGUUGAAACAUCUAAACAGAUCUAAUCAUUUCUGUCUUACUUCAAUUCAUAUCAUAAGAGAACAGCACAGAAUAUGCGACAGGGUGAAAUGCGACAAGGAAAAGAGUGGGUCAAGGAGAUAUAUAACAAAAUAAUAAAAAUAGCAAGAACACGUGACUCGCUGAACAUCUCGCUGUUCUAAAAGCAGGACCAAAUAGGAAGUAAACAAAAUGUCUGUUGAGCACUGUUAUACGCUGUUAGUGCUUCUAGACAAAAUGCAAAUGGAGUAGUGCUAAUAGGAGAAGCAAUAUAUCAAAUUUCUCCCAACAGAUUCUCUCAGCAGCGGAAUCAAAAUCACCAAAUUAGAGUUUCUACUCUUGAGGCUCAAUUAUUUUAACUCCCCACAGAGCAAUGCCAUGCCAAAUUCUCUACGACAGAUGACUGCCGCUGAAAACAAAAACAGGUCUAGAAAAGCACUAAAAAUGUCAGCAAGUUGCAUGAAUUCAAUUUAAAACAUCUGCACAAUUUUUGAGAACGGAAACAUUUAUAGAAUUCUAACAAUAUCUUGAAGAGGGAACAGAAGAAGCAAAAUAUCCCAAAAUCACAAAAUCAUACAAAAAAAAGGACAACAGAAAUAGCCCGUCAAAAUAAUUUACAACGAAUUUUUCUCCUGUAGACCUGUAAAAUCCUGACAAAAUAACUUCCGAGGAAGUCUUCUCAAAUUAACCUCAUUAAAAAAAAUGGGAAAAAAAAUAAAGGCACAUACUUGCUAUGAAAAGAGUUAAAUUUGAAAGUUUCAUUAGUUCCGAUAGCCAACUCCAAAGUGAAAUCUCCUUGCAUUUCUAUCAUUGAAGGCAUAUUCAAGCCGAAGGGGGCCCAGUGGCGAGUCCACACGAAUACCAACUCCAUAACCAUAACCACUUCCAGGCUUCCCCCUUGCUCCAGCUGGGUCACCUGAUCAAAAAAGUGCAUUUCUUAUCCCAACAUUUUACAAUGGGAAAAUGCAUUACCAACUAAACAUGCACAACCUGCUUCUAUACAUUAUCUUACUGCAAUGAACUCCCAACUGUACAAUUCGGACAGAACAGAUACCAACUAAACAUGCACGACCUGCUUCUAUACAUUAUCUUACUGCAAUGAACUCCCAACUGUACAAUUCAGACAGAACAGAUACACCAAAACAAGUUUUACUAAAAAACAACAAACAAAAGCAGACUCUUAUGUCCCAAUAAACAGGGCCAGUCUAUAAAAUUUUAAUAUUCUCGCACUAAUUAAUUAAAAGAUCAACCUGUAAACACCAGUUAAAUGAUAAACAAGGAGCCAACAGUAAAAUCAGAAUGCACUAUAAAAUGCCAAAAAAAUUCUUCCCAUGAGAAAAUUUAAUUAAUGAAUAUGGAAUUCCAAACUAUAAGAAUAAUGCCCUUUAGUUUUCUAGGUUUAAGUUUUUUUAUCAGGAUGUAUUUAUUACUAAAAAAACUACAGAAUGGAAUGUGAAAUGGGAGUGACAUUGGAAAAAGGACUUACCAGUUACUUUAGAUCCCGAGCCAAGGUCACUUCCAUAAUCUCCAAAUACCACACCUUCUAGAGGUCCAUACUGCAAAACAACAAUACUCUGUGAAAUCUCAUUACCCAAAGGAAUGAUUUCAGGUGUUUACUUAUCAUAUUGGGCAAAAAAACAAAUGUGCUCUUAGAUGUGUCAGGAUAUACAUGUUAAUAAAAUUUUUAUUUAAAAAAAAAAACAUGCAUGUGUGUCUACUUUUUUCACGACCUUACGGAAGAAAAAGAAUAAUCAUGACUUAGGGAUUACGAUUAGUCCAACCCAAAAUUCUGUGUAAGCAAGAAUAAAAAAAAAAAAAUAGAGUACACAAGCAUGGAAUUUGAUCAGGCACUUUUGGCGGUUACAAUUAGAGUACUAGUUAUAUAAGUAAUAUGAGUUAGUUUUGCUUCAGUGUUUAGAAGAGCUUGCGUUGAUGAUAACAUUCUAACAAUAUCUUCAGAAGAUUACUUGAUAGAAUACACAUAGGCACGAAUGCAAUAACUUCUCAGUUAAGACCAAAAGGCGAGAAAUCAACACCUACCAUGCGAAAAGAUACUUCUCCGCUACCAACAGCAUAUGAGCGCCCAGAACCAACUGCACCUUCUUCAUAACCUCUAACACUAUUCGUCCCACCAAUUGCAAAUGCCUCAUGAGGUGAGAAGUUCCCCACCACAUGCCCUCCAGAUGCACUAAAGAACAUUAGAAUGCGAGUGAGAAUAACAGAUAACUGAUGAAAAGGUAUUGAUCCAGAUGUUGCUUACAAGAUAAAAAGGGCUCCCUCGAAAUAAGAUUAAAAGAAAGGAAAAAUAAGUGGUAGACUGAAUAAUAUUCAAAAAUAGAACAAAAUUUGAAGAAUCAAGUGGUAAAUAUUUCUCUGCCAGUUUUGCAACCUGAAAUUGUAUACUUUAAAGAAGAAAGGAGGAAAGUUAAACUUUCAUGCCCCUUUUGUCGCUCUACCAUUGUAAAUUACAGCUUUACAUCUUCAAUAGGAACACUGCUCAAUAGUCUACACCUGAGAGUCUACCCAGUCACUUCACAUGUAUAUAAUGUUUACAAGGUAAAACUAUACUACAGAGGCCAAUUUACAAUUUCUAAUACGCAUAAAAUGUGCUCAACAGGAACUACCAUGAAACAAAAACUUAAAGGCGCUUGCAUCAUAAGAUUAAAAAAGAGGAGCUUUCUUGAAAUUGAGUCAAAAAGCCAGAUAUCGGCAUAUAAAUUUCAAUUUGAGCUAGUUUUUCACAAAUUAUUGGGGCUAAGUCUUUCCUAAUGACCUUUAGUUAUGACAAAUCUAACCCUAUCUCCUCUCUUUUUCAUAUCACUUACUCGGCUAGUUUUUGUUCUUGUUGAACUGGGUCAUCCUCAUCUCUACAUUGUAUGUACUCAUACAAUCUUAAAGGCCUACCUCCCAAACUAUAAUGCUAGAGAAAUUGUAAUAUACUCCAACCAUUUACAAAGUUUGAAAAGAUAUAAAUCAAGAUCUGCUUUGGUGACAAAAAGGACGAAGCUAUCAUACCAUAAGAGCAACCGAGCAGGCCCAAUUUCAUAACCUUGCCUAACACGAGCAGUCGCUCUGUUGAAACAUAGCCACUCCGGAAGGAAAGGGAGCCCUUGUUCCACGUUGAAUACAAACUGUAUUUAAUGGAAAACUAAGAAAGGAUGGAAAAAAGAACAGUAGAAGAUAUGAAGGCGUAUCAACCAACAAAAGAAGAAUAUAAAUGCCAACCAUUGUGGAACUGUGAUCACUAGAAUCUGUAUAGAUGCUUUCAAACUUUGCAAUUAGUGUGUUGUCAUAAGCCCUUCCACUGUAACAAAUCCAGAAGGAUGUCAGAUUCCUUGGAGCGAUAAAUAAAUGAUACCCAAUAAAAGACUCAUUAUAUCCACUGGCCAAUGAAAUUAACGAAAACAAUUAACUGAUACAGUAAUAUAUGAGGCCAAAAAAAAUGAACAAAGACCUACACACCUGGCAGUUAACUGGCUGUUAUAGAUAUCUCUGGUGAUGGGAUAGCCUUUAUCAUCACGAGCACCAGCAUGCUGCAAAAAUAAGGAUGACUACGCAUGUCUAGUGCAAAAGCAAAGAGGUGAAAACAGAAAACCAAAACCAGGCACUGCUAAGAAAAGAUAGGCUGAAAAUUAUCUAUUGAUGUUAAGAAUUAAUAUAGUCUAGCAUUUCCUUUCAAUGACUGCAAUAAAAGGCUGCAUCUAAAUAUUAGAAUUCAUGAAUAACUAGUAUUAGAAACACAAAAUCAAUCAAGCAGAUCAGAUGAAAAUUAAUAGUUUCAUCUUGAAAGUAGUUGAAACAUAUAUCAGAACACAUGAAAGAAAACCAAACAGUAUGAAAUUAGUGAGGAAAAGUAAAAAGGGGGGGAAUCUCCAAAGAUUCACUUUGUCAAGGCACAAAUGAAAUUUAUAAAUCUCAGGUUGAAAGGUUUAUCCUUCCAAAGGGAAUACACUAUAUAUAAAGUUGCGAGCAAAUUUGCUUUCAUCAUCACCAUCACAUACAAAUAUUAUUGUCUUGCUUAACGACAUAAAUGUAAUUAAUCUGAACCACAACUGCGGAUAUAACAACAAUCUUUUAAUAAUGGAAAGAAAUAAUUGAAUAUCACAAUGUCUUAAAUGUUAAACAGAGAUCUUAAAAUUUUAGGCGAAGAGUGUGAAUGUUUCUAACUUUCUACAACUGUUUCUGAAUAAACUAAUAACUAGCAAACAAGAACUCCAAUCAAAAAGGUAUAGGCUCCCAGUUCAAAUCUUGCCACCAGCAAGAAUAUGUGCAUGCCUGUGGCAAAAAAAGAAAAAGGAGACGUUGUGGAUAUCACAAGAAUGCUAAUGUUACAGCCAAGUCAUAAGGAAAUAGAGCUAACGCCCCAUAUGCAACACCAAAGGGAACAGAACAGAAAAAAUGAGUUUGAUUGCAAAUACUUGAGAAUGUAAUAGGACAGUAGGUAUCGGCAAGAAAUUCAACAGAUAAUUCCACUGAAGCACCUGAAAAAUUAAGCCAACAGUUCCACUCCACUUGGGCCUGAAAGGUCGACUGUAUUCAAUUCCGGCAGUAACUCGUGCAAUGGUCAGGCCACCAUGCUCAGAUUGGCUGCUGCCAUGAACAAGCGUUCCAGGAGUCCUAGAAUUCUAGUACAAUAAAAUAUGUAUUCUGAAUUUCAUAAUUAUCACAAUAACAAACGAUCAUCAAAAUAAAACAAGCAAUACCUGAAUCAUAAUUGUUCUUGAUGUCCUCUUAUUGUCUCCAUCAAUCCAUGGGUCAAUAUAAUUCAAGCGGAAUAUGGAAUCAACUUGGCCCCUUUCUAGUGAAAGAUUUAGUUUCUUGUUCCUCCCAAAAAGAUUCCGGUGGGAAUAGGCAAAGCUGCAACAAAAUUCGGCAAUGAACUGCAGUAACUUAAGAAAGAUGGUAGAUCAAAGAACUGCAGUAAAUUAAAAGUGUUCUUUUUGGAUCUUGGAAAGAAAAUUAGAUAGCCUUGAUCAGAAAACACAUUUUAAAUACCUACAGACUACAUUUUCAUGUUAAAUCAAAGUUCCGCUUAGAAGAAAAUCACUUAAUUUCCACCUUCAUGGAUAAUACAAACAACUUAGCAUCAUCUAUUUAAUAAAACUCUAGGUAAAUUUCCAUAAGAAGUUACAGGUUAUUUCAGGGAAAAGGAAGAACAUUGACUUUGGGCACAAGAACUGAAAAGACUUUUUACAGAUGGCUUUUCAGUAAAUAAGUAACAAUAUUCCAUCAAAAUGAACCCAUGAUCUCUAAACCAUUCUAGAGAAUUCAUUGCAAAAUGAACCCAUGAUCUCUAAACCAUUCUAGAGAAUUCACAUUGAUUCAAUUAUUCAGCAGCAUGCCAUAGGCAUGUCAUUGGACCAACUAACAAGGACGGUAGAUAAGCAAAAUAGCAAACUUUACAUGGAAAAGAAUAUACUUAAUACAAGUUCCAUUUAAAAAUAUGGAUGCAGUCAUUGUCCACAGACAUCUACAGGCACAAAAAUUUCAGCAGUUUAUGCAAAAAAAUUUUGAAUUGAUACUAUUUUCCUUUAAUGAAAUCUAAUGGCGUGUAUAUAUCAGUUGGUAAUUUGGUAAACCAAAAGAACCACGUUAUGAUAUGAACAAUUUCAAUAAUUAAUGAGCUCCGGAAAAAAAGAAAACUAAAAAAGAAAGAGAAACUAGCAGCACUGACAAAACAAAAUAACCUAUAUAUUACCUUCCAAUGAGUCCUGAAAGAGGUCCAUUGGUAAUCCUGCAGAUAACUCAGGUAAUUAAAAUUUAACACAAAAAAAGAAGAAUUUUGUGGGUAUCUGUGCUUGUGCUUAGGAAGGUCCAGUGCAUAUGAAUUUGUACAAACAAUUCCUUCAGCAUCACUUACCCACUUGAAAUUCCACCGCCUGCAGAGAAACCUCUGCUUGGACGUUCAACAAGAUUCAUAACAAGAUCAACUUUAUUUGUAUCUGCAGAAUUUCAUAAUAGGCACACAUACAUUACACAAACAAUUUUUUCAACAAGGUUUAGAGAAUAAAGAACAUAUCUAUCCAAUUAAAAUUGCCUAAAGAUUUGUCGUCAAAUAUACAAACUCCAAAUCUAUGCACAUUUACCAGUAAGAGGUACUGCAAAUAAUAUUAGUCAAUUUGUUACAGAACUGGAGGACAUAAUGCUAGGAGAAUACGAAAGGUAAUCAGGGUAAUAGGGGGAAAGUAUAACAAGAAAUAAUUCACCUGCAACAGGCUGUGGAAUAAUAGUAACAUCUUCCAUAAUUCCCAUAGUCAAUAUUGUCUCAACAUCUCUUUUAACUUGUGCUCUACUAUAGGCCUAUAUAAAACAUGAAAUAUAGACAAAACAUUCAUUAGUAAAGAUGGAAAUGCACAAGAAAAAUAAUAAGACCCCAAAUUCACAAAAGAAGAGUACCCUUGAACUAGAGUAACAAAAAAAAAACGCUUUACUUAAUUUCAAAUACCUGCAGUUGAUUCUCAACCAAUCGAGUAAAUAGUUACAAAAGCGAAAUAUAAUUUGAUAUUACAUGUAGGUCUUGGGUCUUGACUUGUUAUCUGCCUAAAUAAUUCAGAUGUACCAUCACUUCUCAGUGUAAAUUAUAAAUCAACCAAGUGGCUCAGAAAAGAACCAAUAUGAUGCUUUAGAUUUAAAAUAUAAAACUCGACUCAUUGAAUGGUAGAAAAAUGAUAAAAUGUAUCAGAGAAGACAUAAUGGCAUCUGUAUCAAAGUUUUGCUCUUACAUGUUGUGGGAUUAGUUUCAGACUGAUGUAACUACCGAUGGUAAGUGUAUCAGAAUACUCAGAUUGUCAGUCCUCCAUAUGUUCUUUAUUUCACCCACCAGAGUGUUUUGAACCCACCCACCACAGUUUAUCAGAACCCAGAUCACCAGUGUUUUUCUCCUUAUAACAUCAGAAUGUAGUUCUAAUUGCGAUGUUAUUAAUUUCAGAAACUAUUUUAAGUCUGCAGCAAUUAGCUCCAGAUUUUGGGAUAUUUGUCUCAUGCACGUAAUUGAAUGUUUGACCGAGUAUAAAUGAAAUAAAAUCUUCUUCAAGCAAAUGGCUUGUUUCAGUAACUAUGUCAUAGACUAAAGGGACGUUGAUCUAUCAUUAAGGAAAUUCUUAGAAAGCAAAAAAGCCUCCCGCAACCAACAUCAUAUCCAGUUCUUCAUUAAACUGAAAUCUAGCUCAAUAUUUUCUUCAAAAAAUAGUCCACGAAUCUUUAGACCAGAUUAAUCAAGUCUAGAAUAGAGAUAUAUCAGGCUAUCAGCAUUAAACAGAGACAACUAUUCAUCUUAUAAUUUAUCAUAGGAUAGAUUCAAAGUAACUUUCCUCUAUCCGAAGUGAAAAUGCAAGUGCAUGAAAAAAAAUUUAAUAGUCCUAUCCUUGCUUUGGCAUUCAAAAAAAGAAAAAAAGAAAAAAAAAAUCGCCAAGUCUUGCUCCUAGCAAUCAUGUCUCAAUUCUCUAACAUCAGACUGCUAGCAAACUUUCUUUUAGAAGCAAGAAGGGUCAAAAAAAAAAAUAAAGAACACUUGGAAGAGAUAAAUAUAUAAUUAUGGCACAUAAUGCAAAAGACAGUUUUUGUGCUCUAACCUGUCCUUUCUUUGUAGUAAGCUGUUGGAGUAUGGUCUCUGGUUUCGUCUUCCCAACAGUUGGUUCGCCACUAAUAAUGUCAGCACAAUUUUGGAAAGGAAAAGAGUCAGCAAAUAUUUUCUUUGGUUCUAGAAAGGUGCUUGAAAAUAUAACUGAACUAAAAGAUAUGGUUCUCACGUCCUUCUAUCAAGAAAACGGAUAAUGAUGUUAUUAACCUCUGCUUCAGUAACCUGUAACCUAAGGAUUCCUCCCGAAAGUAUCUCUGCAUAGGAAACCUGAGGCAGCCAGCAGAGCAAAACAAACAAAACAGACUGCUUUAGUAUAAUUCAAACACUCGGCAUCUCUAAUCCAGAAAUAAAAUAUACAAAAGUACGGUCACCAACCAAACCAGUUAGCCCACGAUCCUGAUACCAGCCAUUGAUAGAUUUGAUUGCUUGAUCCAAAUGUCUUAUAUUGACAAUUUUCCCUGCAAAGCUUGAGAUAUAAAUGUAACUAAGUGACAUCUUAGAAAAGCAUGAAUUUACUUAGCCAACAUAUAUGACAAAGAACAUAAAUGGUGUAUCUUCAGUCUGAAUCAAAGUUCUCUAAAAGAAUUAUAGUUUCUCAACAUUAGUAAAAAUGGCAAUCCUAAUGGAGACAAAUUAUUUCAGACAUAAGCAGAACAGCAUUCUAUGUGGUUCUUAGAAGUGUAACCUUUGAUUAGGAAAAAAGGAUCAAGAACUAGAAACUAUUACCAUUAAUGGCUGAAGUAAAUCAACCAAUGUAGGACUGAAAGAUAUUUCCUAUGCAAGUUACACAAUAAUCAUAGCACUCUUUUCCAUGUGGUAUCAUUUCCAAAAUAAAGCAUUAGACGGAACACUCCCAAUUAAACUUUGAUCAUGAAAAGGUGGAACCAUAUAGUGGAAAAGAAAGUGAAAAGAGAACAAUAAAAAAAACCCCGAAAGAAAAAAAGAAUGAAAUGCAUUAAAAAACCUACCAUAUUGAUCGCGAAAUGCAUCUUCCAAGAACUUUGAAGGUAGAAGAUUUGCACCCUCACAAAGCAUACCAUGAAAAUCCUGAUUGGGUUCUACCUACAACAACAUCAAGCAACUUUGUGAACUUGCAUCGUGCUAAAAAUAGAUUAAUAAGAACAAAGAAUGCCGCCUGAUUCUGAAUCUAGUAAGAUAAUCGAUGAAUGCAGAAACCCUUUAAAACAACAAUUCAAAGUGGAAAAACUUUACAAGGCAACAAAUACUACAACUAUGAAAGAUAAUGAGAUAUGCAUGCACUGAUUUCAGCACAUUCAUCCAACUGGAAGAAAAUUCAUCCAGUUAGUAAUGGAGUAACUAAAUACUUGUAUCAAUAGAGGAAGUAUAGCAGCCUGUCAAAUGUCAAUCAUAAAAUGCAAGCAAAACAAAAAUAUUACAGCAUGACAAAGGAAUAUAAAUAUUGAUUAACUCAUAUAAAUUUGGCGGGGAUGAGGAUGAUUUUUUUAUUAUCUCCGGGUUUAACCCUCCAUUCCAGUAUAACCAACGGAAAAAUAAAUAUUCACCACCAAUUUAAAAAUUCAAUUGAUAAACUUUUUUCCUCGGAAUAUGUGAUUGUAUGAUCAUUUUUAUUAUGACGCUACAAUUAAUGAUGCUUCUCAUAGUCGACUUCCCCUCAGACAUAGUACAUAUCACCUAACCCUGCUACUACUUCGUCCAGGGCAUAUCUUGUUAUUGACAUGAAAUAUAUUUCAAAUUAUAUGAAUUUCUAUCUCUAAAAAUAAAUGUGAAUUGCAUGUACCAUUGAUUGAAGUGGCAUUAGAGCAAAUUCUUUCCUAGGGUUAAGCUACGGAUCUUACUCUAUCUUCAUCUAAUUGCAAGCCCCAUCAUAGUAUUAAAAGAUUGUAGAUUCUCAUUGUACUGAAAUAAUCUCUAAUGAAAUUCAAUGUAAUAAACAUCACCUACACCAAACGUUAAUUUGAUGCACUCCAGCACCACCCAAACUCAUAUUUCCUCUAUCAUCCAGUGAAGCCAUAAUUCUAAUUAAUUCCUCACCAGAUAUGACCAGAAGAAUGAGAAGUUACACAAGAAGAUCACCAACUUAUUGAAGAAGCACUAUAUUAGUGAGACUAUGAAACCCAAUGUUGUAUCUCACCCUAGCUCCGACGAACAAUGGUGCUUGGAGCCAAUGUGUCUUGAAAAAUAAGAAAUGAACUAACUAAACAUCAAGCAUAGGUUUCAGAUUCCUAUACUAACGACAAAUUAAAUUGAGCAACUCCAAUAUAGUAUCAAAGAUCAAUCUAGGGCAGUCGAUAGGAAUAUGUACAAGAAAGCUCAAUAGAUGAACAUACAUCACAACUUUCAAACUAAAGAACAGUUAAAUGAGUAGCUCAUGCUGCUCAUCGUGUGAUUCAUGUCAUUUGGUUAUCCAAAGUCCAAACAUUCCCAGCACAUCCAUGCAUGGGAUAAAUCAGUUUGUGUCCCUACAUUUUGCAAGUUUUUUUAUGCGUAUUUCUACAAUAAGAGUUAAAGUCUUAGAAACAAAUUGGAGACAACAAGUUCUUAGUACCUGAAAGACAAGUUUGCAUAUUCUUACAUAUGAAAAAUCUAUUUCCGCCGCAACAUUGGUGAUUCUGUUUCCUAUUUUCAAUGCUAACUAAAAACUAAUUCUUGAUCUAAACAAUAGUUGCUUAUUUCCGAUGUUAAAAACCAGUACAUUAUCUAAUAUAUCCCUGAUUAGCAAACAGAUUGGGGAGUCGGAAACUCUUCAUACCUGAAAGAUGAGCCUGAUGCCGUCGCGGGUGUCGACGGCGACGGGCAUGCAGGAGCUGAAGAACCCGCUCUUGAUGAUCCGGUGCACGUCCUCCUGCACCUCGCGCACGGUGAGCGCCGAGUUGGGGCGGCACGAGCGCAGCGCCGCGGCCGCCGCCGCCUCGAGGUCGGCGCGCUCGAGCGGCUCCCCGUCCUUGUCCCGGACCAGCACCUCGCUGAUGAGCACCCGCUCCUCGUCCUCCCUCCCCACGUGCCGCCGCGGCUCCGGCUCCGCCCGCGCCACCGCCGCCACCGCCGCCGCGAACGGCGGCGGGAACGGGAACGAGAACGAGAACGGGAGCGUCCGCCGCUGCCGCCACCAGCCGCGGACUGCGUCGGCGGCGCGGUCGAGGUGGACGGAGAGCGCGUGGCGCGCGAAGGGGAGGGCGGAGACGAAAGGAGGGGGAGGAAAAGGGGAGGGGGAGGCGAGGGGGAUCUUGAUGGAGGAGGAGACGAAGAGGACGUCGUCGUUCCUCGCCAUGGCGCAGAGAAGCGUAGCACAGUAGGGGGGGAAGGGAUCGUUUUGCUUCUAGGGUUAGGGUUUUGGGAGGGGUACAGCACAAAACCCUAGCCCUAGGUUUCCGCCAUUGGCGAUGGUCAGACGAAGAAGAAGAAGAAGAAGAAGAAGAAGAAAAAAAGUGUGCGGGGUCGGGGUUUCGGUUUUGGGUUUACAGUGGUUCGCAUUUUGUGAACCGGCGGUGAUCCGGUUCGUUUGAAACGGCCGGGUCAGUGCAUUCUAUAUCAGGUUAAAUUGCAUGUUUGUCCCUCAAACUAUAAUACAGUGACACUUCAGUCCUAAAACUUUAAUUUAUUGUAAUUUUUUAUUCGAACUUUUAAAAUUGGUACCAUUACAAUUUAUUUGACUAAAUUUUAACACAUCGUUAAUGUGAAAAUGGUGUAACAUCAUAAUUAUUGACGCAACGAUGCAUCAUCAAUUACAACAUUGCGACCGCCUCCAUAUUAACCAUAUGUUAAUAUUUAGUUAACUAAAUUAAAUUGCAGGACUUGAUUGUAAAAAUUCUAAAAUUCAAUUCGAGCCAAAAUAUUUGAAGUUUGGCACUUAAGGGGGCGUUUGGAUUGACGUAUUUGUAGAUUCAACGUAAGUCAAGUAUAGUGGUGUUUAAGUUUCCCUGAAGUAUGAUUAUUUUUUUAUUGUUUGUUUUGACGUAACUCGUACCGUCUGAAAGUUAAAUUUAAUCACUUCUGUUGUUUGUUUUGAUGUAAGUAAGUGGAUCUCAUUAUCUCCUAAAUAUAGUAGUAAAUUUACCACCAUAAAAUUUAAUCUAUUAUAUAAUUAAUUUUUUUAUUAUUAUUUAAAGAUAAUUCUAAUUUAUUAUAAAUAAGGUAAUUCUAACCCAUUAUAAAGGAAGUAGAGUUUAGGUUUUACUGUUUAAUAAAUUUUUUAGAGAAGGUUGAGUGCAGUAAAAGUCGAGUUCGGCACUUUAGAGGAGGAAGUAGAGAGUAGGUGAAGUGGAGCUCUAAGGUAACUUGAGUUACAUUAUAUUUUUCACUUACAUCAAAACAAAUAACAGAAGUGAUAGAACUUGAGUUCCAUUACUCCACUUACACCAAAACAAUCGGGCCCUUAUAGUGUCACUGCAUUAUAGUUUAAGGACAAAACAUGCAAUUUAACCUGCAUAUUAUAUUCUUUUUUAAAAUUUAAAAAUUCUCCUGGCUUUUGACCAGUGGCUCAGGGCCAUUUUUGGCUCCAACAUUAUUUGAUAAUAAUUUUAUGGAAAAACUUCAAAAAUCUCCCUGUGAUUUCGUACUUUUACAUUUUAGCACUAUGUGGUUUAAAGUGUUUCGAGUUAAUACUCUGUGGUUUCGCACUUUCUCACUUUAGUACCCUAUGGUUUAAAGUGUAUCAAAUUAGUACUCUGCGGUUUUAUUUUUGUAUCAAGUUAGUACCAUGUGGUUUUAUUUUUAUAUCAAGACAAUACCCUGUGGUUUUUAAACCACAGGGUACUAAAGUGAGAAAGUGAGAAACCACGGGGUACUAAAGUGAGAAAGUGCGAAACCACAGAGUAUUAACUUGCUACACUUUAAACCACAGGGUACUAAAAUGAAAAAGUGCAAAACCACAGAGUACUAAAGUGAAAAAGUGCAAAACCACAGGGUACUAACUUGAUACACUUUAAACCAUAUGGUACUAAAGUGAGAAAAAGUGAAACCACAAGGGGGGUAUUUGAAGUUUUCCCUAAUUUUUUUUAAAAAAAUAUGGGAUUAAUUUUUUUUUAAUAAGUUUUUCUAUAUAAAAAGAAUAGAAAUAUCAAAUUAAAGCUUUUAUCUUUUUAUCCCAGAGUUUUAAUAUUGGCCAAUUUGCAUAAAAAAUCCACUCAUUUUGGGCUUUUGCAAAAUCGGGCCACCUUUUUCAUUUUUGCAGAUUCGGUCCGCUUUUUCAGCAAACUGACCAAAAUACCCUUAUUACUUUUUCUCUUUCCUCUUUCUCUCUCUUCUUCGUUUCUCUCGUUCUUUUUUUUUUUCUCGCCGGUAGAGCGGAGGCGGAGCGGAGGCAUAAACGGUCCGUCUCGCCUCUCACCCUCAUACUCUCGCCCUCGCCCUUGCCCUCGUCCAUGCACCCCCCACCUUCCUCGCCUCCUACCCCGUUAAGGCCGCGCCGCGACUUUUUUUUUUUUGCUUUUUUCUUUUCUUUUCUUCUCCGACUCUUCUCCACCGUCUCCGACGANNNNNNNNNNNNNNNNNNNNNNNNNNNNNNNNNNNNNNNNNNNNNNNNNNNNNNNNNNNNNNNNNNNNNNNNNNNNNNNNNNNNNNNNNNNNNNNNNNNNNNNNNNNNNNNNNNNNNNNNNNNNNNNNNNNNNNNNNNNNNNNNNNNNNNNNNNNNNNNNNNNNNNNNNNNNNNNNNNNNNNNNNNNNNNNNNNNNNNNNNNNNNNNNNNNNNNNNNNNNNNNNNNNNNNNNNNNNNNNNNNNNNNNNNNNNNNNNNNNNNNNNNNNNNNNNNNNNNNNNNNNNNNNNNNNNNNNNNNNNNNNNNNNNNNNNNNNNNNNNNNNNNNNNNNNNNNNNNNNNNNNNNNNNNNNNNNNNNNNNNNNNNNNNNNNNNNNNNNNNNNNNNNNNNNNNNNNNNNNNNNNNNNNNNNNNNNNNNNNNNNNNNNNNNNNNNNNNNNNNNNNNNNNNNNNNNNNNNNNNNNNNNNNNNNNNNNNNNNNNNNNNNNNNNNNNNNNNNNNNNNNNNNNNNNNNNNNNNNNNNNNNNNNNNNNNNNNNNNNNNNNNNNNNNNNNNNNNNNNNNNNNNNNNNNNNNNNNNNNNNNNNNNNNNNNNNNNNNNNNNNNNNNNNNNNNNNNNNNNNNNNNNNNNNNNNNNNNNNNNNNNNNNNNNNNNNNNNNNNNNNNNNNNNNNNNNNNNNNNNNNNNNNNNNNNNNNNNNNNNNNNNNNNNNNNNNNNNNNNNNNNNNNNNNNNNNNNNNNNNNNNNNNNNNNNNNNNNNNNNNNNNNNNNNNNNNNNNNNNNNNNNNNNNNNNNNNNNNNNNNNNNNNNNNNNNNNNNNNNNNNNNNNNNNNNNNNNNNNNNNNNNNNNNNNNNNNNNNNNNNNNNNNNNNNNNNNNNNNNNNNNNNNNNNNNNNNNNNNNNNNNNNNNNNNNNNNNNNNNNNNNNNNNNNNNNNNNNNNNNNNNNNNNNNNNNNNNNNNNNNNNNNNNNNNNNNNNNNNNNNNNNNNNNNNNNNNNNNNNNNNNNNNNNNNNNNNNNNNNNNNNNNNNNNNNNNNNNNNNNNNNNNNNNNNNNNNNNNNNNNNNNNNNNNNNNNNNNNNNNNNNNNNNNNNNNNNNNNNNNNNNNNNNNNNNNNNNNNNNNNNNNNNNNNNNNNNNNNNNNNNNNNNNNNNNNNNNNNNNNNNNNNNNNNNNNNNNNNNNNNNNNNNNNNNNNNNNNNNNNNNNNNNNNNNNNNNNNNNNNNNNNNNNNNNNNNNNNNNNNNNNNNNNNNNNNNNNNNNNNNNNNNNNNNNNNNNNNNNNNNNNNNNNNNNNNNNNNNNNNNNNNNNNNNNNNNNNNNNNNNNNNNNNNNNNNNNNNNNNNNNNNNNNNNNNNNNNNNNNNNNNNNNNNNNNNNNNNNNNNNNNNNNNNNNNNNNNNNNNNNNNNNNNNNNNNNNNNNNNNNNNNNNNNNNNNNNNNNNNNNNNNNNNNNNNNNNNNNNNNNNNNNNNNNNNNNNNNNNNNNNNNNNNNNNNNNNNNNNNNNNNNNNNNNNNNNNNNNNNNNNNNNNNNNNNNNNNNNNNNNNNNNNGGCGCGGCCUUGGCGGGAUUGGAGGCGAGGAAGGUUGGGGGUGCGUGGACGAGGGCGAGGGCGAGGGCGAGGGCGAGGGCUAGAGAAUGAGGGUGAGAGGCGCGACGGACCGUUUCCGCCUCCGCUCUGCCGGCGAGAAAAAAAAAGAACGAGAGAAACGAAGAGGAGAGAGAAAGAGGAAAGAGAAAAAGUAAAAAGGGUAUUUUGGUCAGUUUGCUGAAAAAGUGAACCGAAUCUGCAAAAACGAAAAAGGUGGCCCGGUUUUGCAAAAGCCCAAAAUAAGUGGAUUUUUUAUGCAAAUUGGCCUUUAAUAUUUAUUCUCUGCUACGACAAAAUCAUCAAAAAGUUUUAUCACCAAACACUCUGCUGGAUGUGGCCUUUAUUUCAAGCAGAAGCCAAAAAUAAAGCCAAACAUGCACUAAGGCUCUGUUUGGGAUUGCGGACAGUUUAUUUUAUGUGCAAUAAAAAUAUAUAAUAAAAAAUAUAUUUUAUUUAUUUUCAUAUGUAAUAUUAUAUUGUGUUUAUUAUAAUGAUUACCAGAUAUAUAUAUGAGUGAGGCUACUAUGCUAUCGGAAGCACGGAGCCUUCCAUGCUUCCAGCUCAUUUUCGAUGUUGUGACUUUCGAAUCGUCGAUCAGCUCCGUUAAACUUGAUCUAGAGUAUUUGGAGUACCUAGAAAAUAAAUUUUAUUAUAUUUCGAUAUCAUUUGUCUAGUAAUCGAACGGGCUCAAAAUCAACAAAUUUUAAAGGCCGUAGUGAGCCGUUUGUAAGUUUAACGGUAUAGAAAUAUCCAAAUCACGUGAAAUUUUGAUAGAAAAUUCUUUAUACUAUAUAAAACAAGAUCAAUAUCUUUGAUUUAAAAUUUUAAUGUCAUAUUAUUACAUUUUGUAAGAUUUUUAUUUUCAGCCGUUGAUUUUAAGCCCCUUCAUUCACUAGGCAAAUGAUAUCGUAAAAUCAUAAAAUUUAUUUUCUAGGUACUUCAAAUACUCUAGAUCAAGUUUAACGGAGCGAUCGACGAAUUCGAAAGUCGCAAUAUCGAAAGCGAGCUGGAAGCACGGAAGGUUCCGUACUUUCGAUAGACAUAGUAGCCUCACUCUCACACACACACACACACACCACACACACACGACAAAAAAAAAUAAUAGCAGCAUUAACUUUUAAAAUGUAGGAUAAUCCACAUUGGGCUUUAGACAUGCUUGGUAUAUUUAAGCCCACCUAACACUAAGGCGUUUUGGUUCGAAGUCGGAGUCGGAAUCGGAAUCGGAAUCGGAAUCAAAAUAAGCUGGAAUCGAAUCGGAAUGACUCAUUACCUAAUUUUGUUUGCGUUCAUCACCUGAAUCGAAUCGGAAUAAAUCAUAUCCCAUUGUCAGUGUUUGGUUUCAGGUGGAUAUAAAAAACGUAAUCAAAUUAGUAUAUAACAUUAUCUUUAUAAUAUAUUAAUUUAAAUUCAAAUUAAAAUAUUAAAUAUUAAAAUACAUCAAAAUUUGAAAUAAUAUAAAAUUUUAAAAUCUAUGUUUUUUUUAAAAAAAUUAAACUUUGAAGUUGAGUGGAUAAUUCAAAAUAUGAAACUAAAUUUUGAUUUAUUCAAAUUCAAACUUAAAAUUAUAAUUUAAAUUUUAAUUUGAAUCCAUAAAUUUAAUUUAAGUUUGAAAUAAAAUUUGAAUAAAACUUUAUAUAAAUUAAAAUUUAAUUUAAAUUCAAAUUAUAAGUUAGAUUCGAAAUAUUUGAUUAAAUUUUAAUUUUAAAUUUAAGUUUAAAUUAAAAUUUAAAAUAAUAUAUUUAAAUUUUAAAUUUUAACUCAUAUUUUAAUUAAAAAAUUUGAAAAAAUAAAUUUAAUCCGAAUAAAUAUCAAUUCCGUACGGAUUCAACUUUCAAUCCAGCCUCCUAGGCCGGAUUGAAAAAAGAGGUGAUUGGGGGAUUCCCAUUCCACUCGAGAAUCGGAAUCGGAAUGAGACUCCCACGUACCAAACACUCACAAACGGAUUCACUCAUUCCGAUUCCGAUUCCAGGAUAAAAAAGAAGCGAACCAAACACGCCCUAAUAGAUAAAACGAAAUGCAAGCAAAAGCAUAUAGAAAUAUGUUUCUGCGUUUUACGAUAGAAUUAUAUAAAUAUAUCGUCAUCAACUCAUCGCAAUAUAAGUAACGUGAUAUUACGUGCAAAAAAAAAUAAAAAAAAAAUAAAAAAAAUAAAAAAAAUCUCAUGUAAUGCAAUCUCCUAGAUUUGAGUCUACACAAUGAUUCAGAACUUUGCAUGUUGAGCCCAAUUCAAUUCUAUCCCAAUUGCAAUGGGCCAAAAACCAUAGGCUCAAAGUUAGAGAGACCCCCAAGCUAGAAUCCAAGCAGCCAAGCUUGACUCCUACUGUUAAACUAUCACGUGUGGACUCGAGAAAAUAGGGACGUCAACGGGUCAGAUUCGGAGCGAAUUUUUAAAAAUCUGAACCCGAACCCGACUCCAAACCCGAAACCUUAAACCGUCGACGGAUUUUAAAAAUCUAUAUACAAACCCGAACCCAACAGAAAAUCCGAAACCCGAACAAUUAUUUCUCUUUUCAAUGUUUCAAAAUAUAUACUACAUUAAAUCAAAAUUUUUAAAGUACAAAUUCAAAUAUAACAUCAAAUUUUUAUAUUCAUAUUAUAUAUAAUGUAAAAUAAAUUUGGAUUCGAGUCGGGUUCAGAUUCGGGUCGGGUACAAUCAAAAUCCAUAUCUAAAUCCAUAUCUAUCGGUUUUUUCAUUUUUAAUAUUCACAUCCGAAACAAUAUCUGUCUAGUAUUGAAUAAACCCGCUCCAUUCGGAUUCGGAUUCAAAUAAAAUUUCGGGUAUUCGUACCCAUUGACAUCCCUACUCGAGACUUUUUGAUAGGCACAUAACGUGAAUUUAAAUUAAAUGAGGAAAUCAAUUGUGCUAUGGGAGUGGUGGAACUCAAACUCUUAUAUUUAAGAAUUAUCAUUAUUUUUUGUGUGUUUGUUUAUAAGAAAUACAAUGAAGAGAGUUUUGCUUCACCAAAGGUCCAAAAGUGGAGACGGAUAAAAUAAUUUUUGACCGUAAAUAUCCUUAUUCAUUAUUCAGUUCAUCAUAAUUUUACCUUCAGCCGAAACUCAAAACUCUUUAAAAUAGUGUAAUUGACUUUAACUUAGCCUAUCCCAAACAGAAGUAUCUUAUGAAGAAAAAAUAAUUAAAAUUAUAAAAUAUUAAUUUAUCUCUCACACUUCUACCUUUUAUGCCAUUCACUUCAUAUCAAGCAAAUAGCAAAAUUGAAGGAAUCUUCAAUUCCGCAGCUAUACAAACAAACAAUGCAAGGGAAGUAACUUUCAAUUGAAUUCUAGAUCACUCGAAAAUCUAGUUUAACUCCCGUCCCUCAACAUAGAAAUGGGGCCUCUUUAUCUGAAUUUCAUCUUCAGUGAACCAAAUGGGGCACCGNUAAAAUUUAAAAUUAUAUGUUUUAAUUUUUCAAAUUAUAAAUUCCAAAUUUUUAAUUUUUAAUUUUAAUUUUUUAAAUUUUAAUUUUAAAAUUUAAACUUUAUUUUUUAAAUUUUAAUUAUUCAAAAUUUUUAAUUUUUAAUUUUAAAUUUCAAAUUAUUUUAAAUUUUAAAAUUAAAAAAUUUAGAUUUAAAUUUUCAAAUGUCUCAAAUUUUAAAUUUAGAUUUUAAAUUUGAAAUUAAAAAUUUAUAUUUAGCAUUAAAAAUUCAAAAUUUAAAAUUUUAAUUUUAAAUUUUUAAAUUUAUUUUUGAAAUUAAAAUAUCAAAAUUUAAAUUUAAUUCAAAAUUUAAAUUAUUUUAAAAUAAAAUUUAGUAAAAUUAUUAUUAUAUGCAAACAUCAAAAUUUUUUUGUUAAAUAGUUUUACAAAAUUAUUUCAGAAAAUUUUUUUUUAUCUAAACUCAGCCAAACGCUCUACAGUUUUUAACUAAAAUCACUUCUCCAAACUAAAAUUAAUUUUGCAGAAAUCACUUUUUCAGAAUCUAGGCCGAAUGGCCUGUAAUCUCACUCGGUCUGUCGGUCAUAUUGGAUAAGGCCUAAAUUGCUUUUUUUUCAAAAAAAAAAAAAAAAAAAAAAAAACCUACAAAGUUGGGUAGGCUUGGGCCAAGCAAAUGAAAUCCUGGUUGGAACCUAUAAUAUCACUGACCAAAAACUUAGCUUGAUGUUUGCUCAGGGCUAACAAGGCCCCUCAAAAUAAAAUGUUGAGUUAUCAAGCAUGAAUUUGUCACAAAUUGAAUUUUAGUUUGUGAGUUACUAAAGUCAAUUUGCCAACUCCAUUUAAACUCUCCAAAGUAAAAAUGAUGUGACAAUUAAUUUAAUUGUCAUGUAAUCUCCAAGAUAAUAUAUAGCACGAAAUGAUGCUAUUAGAUAUAAAUAUUAAAAAUACCGUUCAUUGAUAACAUAUUAAAUUAUACAAAACUAUCAUUUAUCUCCAGAAUCUUAGGCUAUCAGAGAACGAUGUUUAAUUUUUAUAUUCAAAACUCUCCUUAGGUUUGGGUUGAGAGUUUUUGACAAGCCCAAGAGAUAGAGUUAAGUUAAUUUUUUGACAAGCACAAAAUAUAGGCUCUCAGUGCCUCUUGUUUUAAAUAAAAUAGUUAUUUUUUAAAAAAGCUUAAACUAUUAAAUAACGAUAUUUUUAUAUUUUUAUAUUGAACACAAAUGCUAAUUCGGUUAGGGGCCGUUUGGUUUGAUGUAAUUACAAAUACAGUAUAGUUGGAGAUACAUGCAAUUGGAAAUAUAAUAGUUGCAACUUUAUGCAUCCUAUUUGGUUCGAUGUAGUAAAAAAUAUUGCAAUUAUAAAUAAUUUAUUUGGUUGUAUACAGUUGAGAAAUAAUUUUUAAAAUUUUAUCAUUAUAUAUAUGAUGGUGAGAUUACCUCCAAUGUGAAAAAGAAAAUAUUUUUUAUUUAAUAAAUAAUUAAGGAGAUAAAUAUUUUUUUUGUUUGAGAAAAAACUUCAAAUAUAAACUUCAAAUAUCACCCCUAUGAUUUUGCACAUUCUAACUUUAGUACCCUACGGUUUAAAGUGUAUCACUUUUAUAUACCCUGUGGUUUUAUUUUUCUCUUUUUGUUAUCCACUCUACUAACUUUUUCGUUAAAUCAGCGACAAAAUUAAAACUAAAGGUUAUUAAAGUGAAUAUUCGAUAAACUAUAGGUAAGGUAUCUGAAGUUUUUUGUACAUGAUUUAACGAAAAGUUAACGAAGAGUCUUACAAAAAGCGAAAAAUGAAACCACAGGGUACUAAAUUGAUACACUUUAAACCACAGGGUACUAAAUUGAGAAAGUGCGAAUCACAGGGGUGGUAUUUGAAGUUGCCCUUUGUUUAAAGUUAUUCUCUGUAACGUCCCAAUAGUCUCACAUCGGAUGGGAAAUGAUUUUGAUUAGAAUAUACGAGGCCUGAACGCUAGUAAUAAUAAUUAGGCUUAAGCAUUUUAGGAGGGUAGUUUGGGCCCAAUGAGUUAUUAUUAUUUGCUGUUCGAAUUGUUAUAUUCUUCCCAACUGUUGUAGUUAAAACUAUGGCUAAUUUGAAAACACUAAAUGGCUUAUAGUUGAGACUUGAGAGUAUAUCCAUACAUUUUUUUUCUUUUCUUUUUUUGGAAUCAAUGUGAUGCGUCAACAAGCACUCUUCUCACCUUUAUGUAAAGUAUAAAAGUAAAGGAAACAUGACAGUACUAUGACUCUAUGAGCACUAGUGCUCAACACAAGUGUGUGGAAGUGCUUUUGUACUAUUCACUCACUAGCUAAAGAAAUGGGUUAUAAAAGCAUAUGAGACCUUUUUAAGCUAUGCAAAGUUUCAAGUCAUACUUUUUAUGAUUGAUCAACACAUUAAAGCUUAUCUUUUAGAUAUUGUAUUCAGUGCGCGAACGUUCGGGUCGAAAUGAGCUCCAAAUCGAUCGCUUCUUUAAUAAACAAGCAGAAUACGAGUUGAAUUUUUCAACUCGAAAUUUUAAUGCGUUAAACAUAGGAGGGGAUCAACUUGCUCGUAUUUAGCUCGAUAUUUUAACGAGUGUUCAGCUCGUUUAACAAACGAACGAGCAUGAGUCGGCUUUAGCUCGCUCGUGUUUGGCUCGUUGACGGCCCUAAUUAUGUGGGCGGGGAAUAAACUGUUUUUUAUUUUUCUUGAUAUAGAUACAAUUUUUGAGGUAAGAAAAAAUUGAACCAAAUUCCGCAUUUGAACGAGAAUUAGGUUAUUCCUAGAAAAAAGAACAAUAAUAUUUCAAUGGUUAAAUUGGAAUGGCAAAAAUAAGAGUAAUUAAAAUAAUAAUAUUUUAUCUAGUUAAAUAACAUCAAAAUCAAAAUAUUAAUUAAAUGAUAAACUAAUUAAUCAUGAAUACGGUAUAAGAUAAUGGAGAAGUACAUUAAUUAAAAAUUAACUAUAAAAAUCAAUUGAACUUAUUAAUUAAUUAGUUAAAUUAUUUACUUAGUUAGGUAAUUAGUAAUUACUUAAGAAAAUAAUACAGAAUGAGUAAUUAGAUUAGUUAAAAUAUUAAUUGAUUAAUCAAUAUAAAUAUUAGCUAUUGCAUAAACAAUUAAGCCUUCAAUUAGUUAAUUAAUUAUGAAUAAUAAAUUAUUUUUUAAAAUAGUUAAUUAAAUAUUUAGUAAUUUAAUAAAUUAAAAGUGGUUAACUAUUUACCUAGUUAAGUAGUAAAUAAAUUAUUAUAUAAUAAUAUUUUAUUAGUAAGUAAAAGAGGAGUAUGGACUAUAGAGUGGAAUUAUUUUUCUACCUAAAAUGGUGAAACAAUAGUGUGACACCCCAUUAGUCCCACAUCGGAUGGGAAUGGGGUUGUCAUUGGGUUUAUAAGAGACUUAGACACUAGUAAUAAUAACUGGGCUUAAGCAUUUUGGGCCGGUUGUUGGGCCCAACGAGUUAUUGUUGCUAGUGGGCUGGGUCGUUACAUUUGGUAUCAGAGCCGGUUCACCAGCUGGACAUGUGUGGCGAGUCUCGGCUGAGCCAGGGUCUGGAUGACGGGCUAGCGAGACGAGUCUCACAUCGCCUAGUAUUUUGGGCCGGUUGUUGGGCCCAACGAGUUAUUGAUAAUUUUGGUUUGGAAAAAUAAUUUUGGGGAUUAAUAGGGGGGGUGGGCGGGGGAUAUCGCCUUAUCCCCCAACUAAACACCACCUUAACUCUUAUGAGAAAAAAACCGACCGUCCCUAGAGCAAGUGGCAAAGGGCUUGGUGGUUGGUAUCUGAGACCCAAGUUCAAAUCCUAAUUGAUUCACAUUUGUAACUAAGUUUAUUUCUAAAUAAAGUAAACGAAACAGGUAGCGUACUAUUUAUCUCUCUCAAAAAAAAAAAAAAAACUCUUAUGAGAAAAAAAAUUAUUGGGAAAACUAUAGCAUUAAUAGAGAGAAAAGAAAAGAAAAGAAAAGAAAAACUCCGACGUCUAAAACAAUCAAAAUAAGAACUAGAUAGCAUUGAGAAUUCCAUCCAAAAAUUAAAAAUAUUCAUUUGAACAUUAAAUUAAAAAUAUUGUUGCUUAUUUUUGCUUAAAGAGAAAGUAGGUUCAAACUCAUGUACAAGCAAAUUAGAGAAGAGUAUGAUUUUGGAGUUUGUAAUAACCAGAGAGCCUAAACUUAGCUCUAGUAAAAGAAAAACAAUACAAAUAAUCAAUAGCGAGUGUCCCAUUUAUAUCAAAUUUUUUUUUAAAAAAAUUUAGUAAAGUGUAAAUAUAAAGGUCCAAUCCAACCAAAAAUAAAAAAUUCAUCUACUCAAUCAACCUCACCAGGCCUGAUUGCAAAUAGAAAAGGAAAAACAAAAGAAAAAUUAAUCACCAUCUCUCCUUCUUCUCCUUUUCCGCCGUAACCGAUGAGGUAGGAUUUCGACGGUUGGAGUUCGGCCGCGAGAAUCUCGCAGGGACCGUAGAGGACUACGAUCGCCACGUGUCCCUCCGCCACAGGUCGCUGGAGGAGUGGAUGCUAAACAUCCAAGCGGCCCCAUAUAUAGCGGUCCCACAUAUAGCAACACUUUUAAAAAGUAUCGAUAAUUUAGCCAGUAUGUACGGAUAUUUAAAAGUGUCGCUACAUACCCUUUUUGUUGUAGUGAAUAUCAAUUGAAAUGUACUUAUAAUAUAUAAAUACUAUUACAUACGCAUAUGAUGAUGAUUUUAUAAAAUUAUAGAGCCUAUUAGGAUUUAAUUAAUCGAGUCCAAAUUGGGCUAGAGAAUUUUGGAGGUUGCGAAGUAUUUGAGAAUAUAAAGCUAAAUUGUGCAUAAAGAAGAAAAAUAAUUAGAAUUAGAAUGAUGAUAACGACGAUUAUAAUGAGACAACAACAACACGCUAAUAAUGUCACAAAUAUAAUAGUUAUAAUGAUAUAAAUUUAUACAAAAUUUGUAAGAGUCUUGGUGCAAUUACUAUUUUCUUAAAGAACACGAUUAAAUAAGAUUUGUAAAAGUUAACCUCGUUCGCGAAACCCCAUCAUCUUCUAAUAAUAUCGGACGGCCAUGAAAGCAAAUGAUAUUUGUUUAUAUCAAUACAUGGAAAUGAUAUCGACAAUGGUGAUAACAACUAUAUUAACAUACUAAUAAGAGUCCCGCUACUACGCUAUCGGUAGCACGGAGCGCUCCGUGCUACUGAGUUGUUUUCGAUGAUGCGGCUUCCAAAUCGACGAUCGGCUCCAUUAGACUUGAUCUACACUAUUGAAAAUAUUUGGAAAUUAAAUUUCAGAUUUUUUUCGACAUCAUUUGACUAGUGAUCAAAAGAUCUCAAAAUUGACAAUUUUCGUGAUCGAUGUGGUGUGUUUGUGAGUUUAACGGUGUAAAACAAUCCAAAUGCGAUGAAAAUUUUAUAGAAAAUUCUUUUCACUAUUUAGAGUAAGAUCAGUAUAUCUGAUCUUGAAUUUAAAUCUUUUAUCAUUAUUUUCAUGAGAUUUUUAUUUUCAGCCGUUCAAUUUUAGACUACUUGUUUGAUAGGUAAAUGAUAUCGAAAAAUAUGAAACUUAGUUUCUAAAUACUUUCAAUAGUGUAGAUCAAGUCUAACGGAGUCGAUCGUCGAUUUGAAAGCCGCAUCAUCGAAAACAACUUGGUACCACGGAGCGCUCCGUACUACCGAUAGUAUAGUAGCCUAGUUCUACUAUAUAUAUAUAUAUAUAUAUAUAUAUAUGCACGUGAUAACUGUAAUUUGAAUCUGUACGCAGUCUAUAAUUAAAAUUGUUGAUAUAAUUAAUAUUUGGGAAAACUUCAAAUACCAUCGCUAUGGUUUCACACUUUCUAACUUUAGUAUUUUAUGGUUUAAAGUGUAUCAAUUUAGUAUUCCGUGGUUUUAUUUUUAUCUUUUUAUUAUCGAUUUCACUAAUUUUUUUCGUUAAAUUAGUAACAAAGUUAAAACUAAAGAGUACUAAAGUGAAUAUUCAAUAAACCUAGGUAGGAUAUCUGAAGUUUUUUGUAUAUAAUUUAACGAAAUAUUAACGGAGAAACUGACAAAAAGAUAAAAAUAAAACCACAGGACACUAACUUGAUACAUUUUAAACUACAGGGUACUAAAGUGAGAAAGUGCGAAACUGCAGUAAUGAUAUUUUAAGUUUAUCUUUUUUUUAAUGAAGAACUUAAGUAAACAUAUGAUUGAUGAUUGUGAAAAUCCUAUUCAUCAUUAACAAUUUUGACUUAUGGGGACUUAAUUCUUUUCCCACCACAUAGGAGAUAAUGGAAUGAUCCUUUCAAACCCACUCACCCCAUCAUCAUCUUCUAGAUAGAUCUUUUGUUCUUGUGCUUUCACACUCUUUUGCUUUUUCUCUUUUUUUUCUUUUUUUUCCUUACUUUUUGAUUCUUUGAUGCCUUUUCCUUUUCCCCUUUUGUAUUAUUUUGUUUAUAGAGUUUUUUUAGCUAAUUGACUCUUGAGGUAUAUUUACAUAUGAACCCUUCUAAAAUUGUUCAAAUUGAUUUUAAAAAAAAUUUGAUAAUGUGUUAAUGACAGAAAAUGGAGUUAAAAGAGGUCUCCCUAUACUUUCAAAAUUGUGUAUUAGACAUGUGAGAGACAAAAUUUUUGUAUUCACAAGAUAUUUUAUGUCAUAUAAUUAUGAGAAGGAAAAACUUCAAAUACCACCCAUAUGGUUUCGUACUUUUUUACUUUAGUACCCUGUGGUUUAAAGUGUAUCAAUUUAGCACCCUGUGGUUCGCACUUUCUCACUUUAGUACCCUGUGAUUUAAAAUGCAUCAAUUUAGUACUCUGUGGUUUCAUUUUUCUCUUUUCGUCGGUUCCUCUGUUAAUAUUUCGUUAAAUUAUAUACAAAAAACUUCAGAUACCCUACCUAGGUUUAUCGAAUAUUUACUUUAGUACCCUUUAGUUUUAACUUUGUCACUGAUUUUUUUUCUCCCGUUAAUAUUUCGUUAAAUUAUAAACAAAAAACUUCCAAUACCCUAUCCAGGUUGAUCGAAUAUUCACUUUAGUACCCUUUAAUUUUAACUUUGUCACUUAUUUAAUGAAAAAUAUCAGUAAAAUGGAUAAUAAAGAGAAAAAGAAUGAAACCACAAGGUACUAACUUAAUACACUUUAAACCAUAGGGUACUACAGUGAGAAAGUGCGAAAGCAUAGGGACUAACUUGAUACACUUUAAAUCACAGAGUACUAAAAUAAGAACGUGUGGAACCACAGGAGGGUAUUUGAAGUUUACCCUAAGAUAUAUUGAUACCACAAAUUAUAAGUAUCAAUUUGGUACUUAAUUUUUAUUCUAGUUUAGAUUCGGAUCAGUAAUGAGUCUCUUAACAUGGAUACCUUCUAAAAUAUUUUAUGCUAAUAACAUUUUAUCUCCAAACACUACAUCCCAAGAGAGUCAAGGUCCUGCUAAAUAAAGGGAAUAAAAAAUUUUGGUGGAAAUAAUCCCCAAUAGAUGGAGCAGUCUCAAUUAGACAGUUUCCACUAAAUUUAAAAAUAUUUAUUUAUAGAGAAAAAAAAAGGAAAACUUGGCGGUGAUUGUUUUCAACUGCGUCGUUUAUGUAAUGAGACGACAGAUAUAGUGGUCUCACAUUAGAGGCCGUCGGAAAAAAAAAAUUAGUGGGGUAACCCCUAAUAUAAGAUUGUUAUCUAUCUUAUUCAUAUGAUUUUGCCAUUCACUUUAUUUAUAUAUAGGAAAACUUCAAAAACCCCCUCUGUGGUUCCAUACUUUUUCAUUUUAGUACCCUGUGGUUUAAAGUGUAUCAAGUUAGUACCCUGUGGUUUCUCACUUUAUCACUUUAGUACCCUGUGGUUUAAAGUGUAUCAAGUUAGUACCCUGUGGUUUUGCACUUUAUCACUUUAGUACCCUGUGGUUUCACACUUUAUCACUUUAGUACCCUAUAGUUUAAAAACCACAGGAUACUAAUUUGAUACAAAAUCAAAACCACAGGGCACUAAAGUGAUAAAAUGCAAAACCACAGGGUACUAACUUGAUACACUUUAAACCACAGGGUACUAAAGUGAUAAAGUGAGAAACCACAAUGUACUAACUUGAUACAUUUUAAACCACAGGGUACUAAAGUGAAAAAAAUUGAGACCACAAGGGGGGUUUUUGAAGUUUUUCCUUAUUUAUAUAUUGAUGGCAGAUAAAACAAUCUCAAGAUGGAAAUAGUCUCCUCCAAAUUUUUAUGAAAAAUGCUUCGGCACCCCUAUUGUAGAUACAUUACUAUAUUGUUAAAGUGUUGACUCCCAUCCCUAGCGCAAGUGGCAAAGAGCUUGGUGGUUGGUACUCAAGGUUUCAAGUUCGAAUCCUAGUUGAUUCAUAUUUUCAGCUAAAUUUAUUUCUAAAUGAAAUAAACGAAGUGGGUAACGUGCUACCUAUCUCUCAAAAAAAAAAAAAAAUUUAUGGUGUUCAGGGUUUAGAAUUUAGAAUUUAAAAUUUGUAAAAAUGUAUAAAACUUGCAUGAACUAUGGACGAUUUUGAUUCGACUACCUAACCUUUCAAAAUUUUAAUUUAGUAUCCAACCUUUCAGUUUGUCUGAUUUAAGUGAUUUGAUGACACUUUGGAUAUAAUUUAAGUUAACUGCUUAAUUUAAUGGAUUUAUAGUUACGUAAAUUUUAUAAAAUAUACUAACUAAAUCUUUAAAGAUAAAAGACACAAUAAAAAAUUUUAAGUUAAAGAGUCAAUAAUUAGCUCUAAUCAAAUAAAUUUAAAAGUCAGAUAGUAGAAUCAUUUUUUUUCAAAAAAAAAUUUAGCUAGUCUAAAUGGAUGAUAGUGUUGGAAAAUUUUAUACAUUUUUACCUUUAUUAGAAUUUAAUUAGGGAAAAAUGCAUAGAACUUACUUGAACUAUUGACCAUUUUGAAGGGCUUUUUAUGCAAUUAGCCCUUCAAAUUUUUUUCCACAAAUAGCCCCACAAAAUUUAUAAUUGCAAAACUGACCCUAUUCUUGUCACGUAAGCGCCACGUGAGCGGCUGACUAGACAUAAGUUGAACACAGUGAACUAUUCACCGUGUUUGUACACGAUGAACAGUACACCGUGUUUAAGCUAAACAUGAACUUCUACAACGUGAGACGCGCUAGUUGGAUUGGUUUAGUUCUUCUGAACAAAUUGAACAAGGUGAAUCAUUCACCGUGUUCAACUUAACCCUUGGCCCCAACCGCUCACGUGGUGUUGAUGUGGCGGGGAUAUGGUCAAUUUUGUCAUUAUAAAUUUUGUGAGGUUAUUUGUGAAAAAAAAAUUAUAAGAAGGCUAAAUGCAAAAAGAGUCCCAUUUUGAAUCUACUAUCCGAUCUUUCAAAAUUUUGAUUUUACUAUUUAAACUUCUAAUUUAUUUGAUUUGAGUUAGCCAACGACACUUUGACUUAAAAACUUGAAUGCGUCGUUUAUGUUUAUAGAUUUAGUUUAUAAAUUUCAUACAAUUCUAGCAACUAUAAAUUAAUUAAAAUUAGAAAUUAGCUUAAAGUUUAAAGGCAAAGCAUUAUUUACUGACUCAAAUCAAAUAAAUUAAAAAUUUGCAUAGUAAAAUCAAAAUAUUGAAAGGCCGAAUAGUCAAUUCAGAACAGUUCAUAGUUCAGAUAAGUCUCUUAUGCUUUUACCGAAAUAAACGAUAUUGCUAACAUAUAAAUAAUACUGGGUUACCCAUAUGGAGAUAAAACUUCAACGAGGAGCUUCCCAACAAGAAUGACGUCUUGUUUGCGGAGCUCCUGAUUUGCUGCCACAUAUUGCUUCUAUCAAAUACUUUGUUAGAUUUUAUUUAAUACUAAAUUCAAUUUUUUAAAAAAAUUUUAGAGAAAAUAAUUAUAAUCGUUGAAUAAAAAUAAAAAUUUUUAAAAAUGAUAAUGAACUAAAAAGUGGUUAUCCCUCUUAUACCCAAACAAAAAAAAAGGAGUCAGAAUUAAAUUAAAAAAUUUAAAAUUAAAAUUUUAUAAUUUGUAAUCUUAAAAUUAAAAUUUUAUAAUUUUAAACUCUAAAUUUUAAAUCUUAAAUUUUAAAUUGAUACUUUAAAAUUUAAAAUUCAAUAUUUUAUAUAUUUAUAUUUAGAUUUAAUCUUAACUUUAAAUUUUCAAAAUAUAAAAUUUAAAAUUUUAAAAAUUUAAAUUCAAAUAUAACAUAAUGGGCAAUAUUAUUGUUUUUUAUUUAUAAAUACCAACUAUUAUUCUUAUUCUAUCUUAUUUAUCCAAACGCUAUUUUUCUUAUUUUCGGAAACAACUCAAUUUUCAUCCAAACAUAAAAUUAGUUUAAUUUUUGCUGAUAUCCGAACUUGUACUUAUUCCUGUAAUAGGCAGUUCUUACUUAUACCCGAAUCAAACAAAAUGUUUAAUGAGGCGUUGUUGUUAGCUCCGUAUUUAGUGAUGUCAAUGGGUCGGAUUCGGGAUGGAUUCUUAAAAACACGAACUGAAACCCGACUCAAAACUCGAAACCCGAACCCAAACUGUGAAACAACCGUUGUACUCUAAAAACUUAAGCUGUUAGAGAAUGGUGUUUAAACAUUUUUAUAUUUAACACUCCCCCUCAUGUCUGGGCUCGAGACUUUUUAAUCGGCUCAUGACGUGGGCUUGAAUUAAAUGGGAGGGCGUGAUUCGAACUCAGAACCUCCUGCUCCGAUACCAUGUGAAACAACCGUUGUACUCUAAAAGCUUAAGCUGUUAGAGAACGGUGUUUAAAUAUUUUUAUAUUUAACACGAACCCAUAUCCAAACCCGACGAUUUUAAAAACCCAUAUCCAAACCCGAACCCGACAAAAAAUUCAAAACCCAAACCCGAACCCGAACCCGAAAAUUCGAAUCCAAAAUAAUUAUUUCUCUUUUCAUUCAAAAUAUAUAUUAUACUAAAAAACUUUAAAAUAUAAAUUCAAAUAUAUCAUUAAUUUUUUAUAUAUAAAUAUUAUAUAUAAUGUAAAAUAAAUUCGGAUUCGGCUCUGGUUUAGGUUGGGGUUGGGGUCGACUGGUGGGGUAUAGCCAAAUUUUAUAUAUGUCAAAUUUUUUUUUUUUUUUUUUAGAUCUAAAAUUAUUUCUAUUUUAGUAUAUGAUAAAUUUACUCUGUUCGGAUUCGAAUUCAGAUUCGAAAAAAAUUUCAGACAUCCGUAUCCAUUCACAUCACUAUCCGUAUUAAUUUUCAUUCCUGUAGUUUCUAUUCAGAAAAAAAUUUAAAAUUCCAAAAAAGAGAGGGAGUCUCGAAGACCGAAGACCGAGGCGACAUUCACAUUCACAUUCACAUUCAUACACAUAUAAAUAUAAAUAUAAAAUAUAUAUAAAUAAAAUUAAAAAAUUAUAUCUUAAAAAAAAAAAGAAAAAAACUCAAAGCGGUUUUCUCCCUCCCUCUCCCUCUCUCUCUCUCUCUCUCUCUCUCUCGCGAUCGAAUUCUCUCUCUCUCCUCCUCUCCCCGCUUCUUCUUCGACUCAGGUUCGAUCCAGAAACCCUAGAAUCCCCUCGGAGGCGAAGACGAAGUCGCCGCCGCCGCCGCCGCCUCAAUCCCGGGUUCGAUUACUUGCCCUGUUUCGUUCUUUUUUUUGGUUAUGUUGUGUGGAAUCGAUCGAAUGGUGUUUCAGGGCUUGUUUUGAUUCGGUUUGGUUCGUUCUCUGCUCCGGAGAUGCUGGGGACGGGGUCUUGUGUUGAUUUAUAGGGUUUUGCGUGUGAUUUGAUCCUCUUUUCGUUUUUUUCGAUCCCUUUUUACGGGAGUUGUUAUUAUGUUAUAUACGCGUGAAUUGAGUUGAUUUUAAGUGGAUGUAGUUGUGCUCGUAAUCCGUAUGAGGAAAUGCUCUGGUGAAAGCCUCGCCUUUUUAGGCAUGCUAGAAGCUCACAUGCUUCUCUUUUCAAAAUUUUGAUGCAUAGGAAUGCUUUAGAAUGCAUCGAAUUAGUUAAAUUCUCAUUUUGAGGUCAUUAUGGUAGGAUUGUACGAGUGCGAUGCGCAGAGCACCCAUUGCAUGCGAUAAUUUCGUCCCGAACUAUAGUGCAUGUUGAAACCAGUACUUGAACUUUAAGGGCUCGUUUGGUAUCAUGUUUAUUUUUCAUUUAAUAGAUAAAAUCUUUUACAUAAAAAACAUGUAGAAGUGUAGUUCAGUGGAUUGCUUGCAAUCUUUUCAUUCAAGAUGUUUUGUUUGCAACAAAAAAUAAAAACUUGGAAACUACUUACUUUUUGCUUCCAAUUAUUUCUUUUCUUAAAGAAGUUGUCAUCUAUCACGUGCCUGGAUGCAUCGCUAAUGAAUCACACAACAGAGAAAAAUUCUUUUGCCAGUACAUCUAAUUAUACAGAAUUAGUGUUAAAAAAAAUAAAAAAUUGACAACAAUGCCAUACGAGGCCUUAAAAUUUUAAUUUUACUACCUAAACUUUCAUUGUUUCUGAUUUGAGUAAAUUAUAGUGUCCAUCGACGAUGUUAUGGACUACACUGUCGAGUGAUACAACAGGGUACACAGAUUGGAAGGUUAGGGAGUAGUAUAAGGUGAGGUAGUGUACUCAAAACUAUUCAAGUUCAGGUAUAUGUUUUUACCUUCUGCAUAUGAACUGUGUUUUUACUUGUUAUGGUAAUAGUCCUGAUUUACUUUCUUUUUGUUUACAGAGUUAAGAGGGUGGUGUCAUUUAUAAGAGAAUGGAACCCAAUGGGAAAGACAAUCUGAAAGCACCACUACUUCAAACUUCAGAAAAUGUUUCUGUUACUUCUCCUGGAGGAUCAAAGAAAGAUGAAAAUAAGACCAAGCAGGUUGAGUUCAGGAUUCGAGGUAUAAAAUGUGCUUCUUGUGCAGUAUCUAUAGAAUCUGUGGUGGCGAAUAUGAAAGGGGUUGAGAGCAUCUCUGUGUCGCCGCUUCAAGGUCAAGCUGUGGUCUUUUACAAGCCUGAACUGACGAAUGUAAGUAAGGUUAUUAAACUAGGGGUAGUAUAUGAGCUCUUUCUCUAUAAAUUAGUCUUCUCAUUCUACUUGAUUAUUAUUAUAAUUAAAAGAUUUGAAUAAGCAACUAAAUUUGCUUAGGAAAGUUGACUGUCCUUUUGAUUUAUUGCAGUGUGGUUAUGGUAAACCAUUUAUGCAGAGUCCCAAGCUUAAUGCUUUUCCAUUUAUCGCCAUUCUUUAUUCUUGUCAACCGACUUUGAAUUCAGUUCUAAACAAUAUUACUUUGUUAUCUAAUUAGUUCAAUCUGUUUCCCUGAUUAACUAAACACUAGUUUAGUGUUAAUUUAUCGACUUGUAGUGCAUAUAUGGCAUUAUAAGAAAGUCCAUGUACUGAUUUUGUUAUUUAUUUUUCUUCUUUUUUAUUGAUCUCUCUGGAAACUGUAUAUACAUCAAUAUAUCGUGUCUUGUCGUACAUUCAUUUCCUACUUUAUUUUUACGAACUUGCAUAUCUUUGAAUGAUUUGGAUGAAUUGAUGGAGGUGUUUGGUGAUUUCAUCAAUGAUGAAACUCGAUUAUCUGGAAGACGAAUUAUGAGAUCGCCGUCAUUAAAAGCUCGAACUAAAAUGGUUGAUUCCAUGUUUAGUACGAUUUCACUUCUUCAAGAGAUGCACUUCCUUUUAACAAUAAAAUUUCUUUUGAAUUUUAAAUAUUUUACAUUUCGAGAAAAGAUGCUAGUUUCAGUUUCUAAUCACCUGUGGACCUUCCCUGCACACUUUCUUUGCACUGAGAACUUACUUUCUUAUCUCCAGGCACAAAUGAUAAAGCAAGCCAUUGAAGACCUGAACUAUGAAGUGGACGAGUUCCUAGAGCAGGAAAUUGCUGUAUGCCGCCUUCGAAUUAAAGGAAUGGCCUGCACAAGCUGUUCCGAAUCUGUUGAAAAAGCACUUUUGAUGGCUGAUGGGGUCAAAAAAGCCGUAGUUGGCCUUGCCCUUCAUGAAGCCAAAAUCCACUUUGACCCCAAUAUUACCAAUGCUAAUCGUCUCAUUGAGGCUAUUGAAGAUGCUGGGUUUGGAGCUGAUUUAAUAAGCUCAGGUGAUGAUGUGAACAAAAUUUAUUUAAAUGUUGAUGGCCUUCGUUCUUUAGAAGAUGCCAACCUCAUUCAAUCAGUGCUUGAAGCUGCUGAUGGUGUGAAUACUGUUGAAUUGGAUCCAUCAGGCCAGAAAGUGAUUAUAGCCUAUGAUCCCGAGCUGACCGGCCCAAGAACACUUAUUCAAUGCAUUGAAGAAGCAGGUCCGUUUCACGCGACCUUGUGCACACCUACGAGGCAAAGAGAAACAGAACAGCAGAAUGAAAUUAGGGCUUAUUGGAACCAGUUUCUUUGCAGCUGCCUGUUUACAGUCCCUGUUUUCUUGUUCUCUAUGGUUUUGCCUAUGUUUUCUACUGCUGGGGACUGGUUGUCUAGUAAAGUUUACAACAAUCUGACUGUUGGAAUGCUGCUGAGAUGGGUCCUUUGCACUCCAGUGCAAUUCAUAAUCGGCUGGAGGUAUGGAAUCUGCAUAUCUUAUUGGGGCUUUUUAUGUAUAUAUCCUUGUAAACUUGUCAGUUUACACAUGCAUUUUCUUUGUAAAACCUGAAAUUUUAUACUUACCCCUUGAAGUUGCAUUUUCUUACAAAAAAAAACCUUUAUCUUAACUUGGGGAAUGAUUCAAUUCAGGAGGAGAGUUGGCUUACAUUAGAAAAAUGAUUUUUAAAUCGAGGCAUUUUUGUAAGUAGAAGGCUCUUACUGAUAUGGAAUGAUAAUAACUCAUUGAAUUGAUUACAUAUUAUAAGACUCUCUCUUCUGUUGGUUGGCGUUAAAUUGGAGAAUAAUGACUUACCGGCUCAUUUCACUAUUUAGCAUUUGAUCCAAUGAAACACUUUUUAUAAUUAGUGCCAUAAAGUCACCUAUUUGCUUAGUUUUGGAUUACUUAAUAGAUGAUCAUGAUUACUAGUUAUUUGAUGGCAUUUACUGGUUCUUCAGAUUAAUGAUAUAUGGUGUUACCAAGAAUCUGCGAUGUUAGUAGUUGGUGCCGGAAUGGCCAUCACUAAAUCAGUUUUGCUUAAUGUAUCAAUUUACAGAGUGCCCUAAUAUUUGGGUUUUUUUUUCCCCCCCCAAAUACAACUCAGAUUCUACAUUGGAACUUAUCAUGCACUAAAACGGGGAUCAUCUAACAUGGAUGUUUUGGUGGCAUUGGGAACUAACGCUGCCUAUUUCUACUCAGUAUAUAUCGUGUUAAAAGCACUAACAUCACAAACAUUUGAGGGAGAGGAUUUCUUCGAAACUAGUGCUAUGCUGAUAUCUUUUAUUCUGCUCGGAAAGUAUUUGGAGAUUAUGGCAAAAGGGAAGACGUCAGAUGCUCUGGCAAAGUUAACAGAUCUUGCGCCUGAUACGGCUGUUUUGCUAGAUAUGGAUAAGGAUGGAAAUGUCAUUUCUGAGAUGGAGAUUAGCACUCAGUUACUUCAAAGAAAUGAUGUGAUCAAGAUUGUUCCAGGUGCAAAAGUUCCAGUUGAUGGGGUAGUUAUUAAGGGUCAAAGUCAUGUGAAUGAGAGCAUGAUAACUGGAGAGGCAAGGCCGAUUGCGAAGAGACCAGGAGACAAGGUUUGAUCAAAGUAUCUUUGUCAUUGUUUGUUGUUUCAGAAUCUGUUAGUAUGGCUUGUUUGAGGAUAUGUUAUUAUUAUUGUUAUUAUGACUAAACUACAGGCCUAAAUUUACGUCCUUCAAGAUUUAGACCUUUAACACUAUAUCUUCUUCCUAACACAUUUUUUAUUCAGAACUAUUAGGUAGUCUUAAAUAUUAUCUGAAUUAUCCAUUGUACCCUUUUUAUGCAAGGAAAGAUUAAGUUUAAAGAUUUUUUAAGAAUUCUUAAUGGAAAAAUGUGAUGGGAAGGUGAUCAAAUGCUUAUACAUUUGUCUACGAUGAGCUUAUAAUAACUAUAUUUAUCUGAAACUUAUUGCUGCUAUUAAUUAAAAUUUUAAUUUAGCAAUUUUGUUAUUGUUUGUUGGUUCGGUAGCGAACUUUUUAUUUUUGGAAUGGAUUUUUACGGAAUCCCCAUGAAUCGGAUCAAACCUUAUUCCAUGAUAGUUCCAUAAGAUUCCUCUUUCUUAUUCUUAAGCAAGCCCCUGAGAGGGCUUAGUUGAUCAUGAUUUAUGUUUUAUCUUUCUUUUCCUUUAUGUUUGUUUCGAGAAAGAUAUCGUCUGAUUCUUUUUCUAUUGAUUCUUUUCCAAUCGAGAUGUAUGGAUCCAUGGGUCUGUGUGUCUACAUAGAUCCUGUUCAUGGAUUAACGAAAAUGUGCAAAAGCUCUAUUUGCCUCUGCCAUUCUAUGAGUCUCUUCCUUUUUGCGUAUGGCAUCGCCACUCCCUUUGGCAGCAUCUACUAAUUCGGAACUUAAUUUGAAAGCCAUAUUUCGACAAACUACUGUGUCAUAACGCACUCUGCUGGCUUAAUUGUCACUACCAGGUUAUUGGUGGUACGGUGAAUGAGAGCGGAUGGAUAUUAGUUAAGGCCACUCGUGUUGGGUCAGAAACUGCAUUAUCACAGAUAGUUCAGCUAGUGGAAGCUGCUCAACUUGCAAGAGCUCCGGUUCAGAAGAUAGCGGACAGGAUAUCACGGUUUUUUGUUCCAACUGUAAGUUUUCUGCUGUUUUCCUUGCAUUUUAUUUGUUUUUUCUUAGUUGUCUGUGUAGAUCAUCUAGAUAAACAUGCAUUUGUUGGGAAGAAAUUCAACGGAGAUAAGUCUAUUUGGUCCAACUUUUGCUUCUGUUUUCCCCCUAGCCACCUCUAGUCGUACUUGACUGUCGAGAUUCUACCUUGGUGGAAAGCCAAAAUGAGCUUUUUGUGACUAACCCUCAAAAGUGAAAUCUCCAACUAGGAGCUUCCAUUCUUUGGCACAGGGAAGCUGUUGGAGGAAGAAUUUUUGUAAGUAGAUGAACAAUCUAGACUCUGUUUCAUUUUUUUUUUUUCAUUUUUUUCAUCAUUUCUUUGGCAGGUUGUGAUGGCUGCUUUCAUUACUUGGCUUAGCUGGUUCAUAUGUGGAAAAGCCAACCUUUAUCCAAGGCAUUGGAUACCAAAGGCCAUGGAUGAGUUUGAGCUAGCUUUGCAAUUUGGCAUCUCGGUGUUAGUUAUUGCUUGCCCAUGUGCCUUGGGACUAGCAACACCGACAGCUGUUAUGGUUGCCACAGGAAAAGGAGCUUCUCAGGGGGUCCUAAUCAAAGGUGGCUAUGCUCUUGAGAAAGCUCAUAAUGUAAGUAGCAGAUGGUCAUUAUUGAACUCAGUUGCUUAUAUAUACUCAAAAGUAUACCUGUGCAUAUAGCUCUUGAGUUAAGAGCUCAAUUUGCACAUGUAUUCUUCCUCUUAACAUUGUGUCAUAAAAACAUUAAAAACUUAAUAGAAACUCACAAAUACGAAGAUUAUAACAUAACCUUAUCACUAUAAAUAUUGACACUGUGGCACCUAAUGGUUGAUUCUAUAUAGAGUAUUUUUGGAAAAUUAAGGGCAUUUUUGUCAUUUAAUGAUUAUCCGGGGGUUUAACUUCGGUCAAAUAAAUAAUGAAUUCAUUUUGUACAUAGCUAUAUACGAAUACAAUAAACUUUGGAGGAUAUCCGCACAAAUAGACAUCUCAAAAGGGUAUGCAUGUUAAUAGAACUUUCCUUCGAGAGGUAAAAAGUAGAGAAGAAAGCCGAAGAAGCAAAUAUGAUUUUAGUUUUUUUUUUUUUAUUUUUUUUAACAUUUGUUCUGAUUAUGCUCUUUUUAGUGAUUAAUAAUUUGUUAACGUAGGUGAAAGCUGUCGUAUUUGAUAAGACUGGAACACUAACUAUCGGCAAACCUUCUGUGGUCCAAACCAUGCUGUUCUCGAAGAUGCCGUUGCAAGAGCUUUGUGAUUUGGCUGCUGUUGCAGAGGUCAGCCCUAAAACCAAAAUAUUCCCUCCAUUACUCAAGAAAUGAAUUUGAUAAUGUUCUUGCAUUCAUAGUGUAUUGUUGCAUAGCUGAGCUUAAAAGCUCCAAGUCUUUACUUUUAUGAUUUUUGCAUUCAUACCCCUGAAAAAAUUAUCUAUUUACAUUAUACACAUAUACCCUUGUUUAAUUUGAAAUUUUAUAUAUGCCAAUUUCUUAUACGUGUACCCUUGUUCUUACAAAUACACUUCUUUAAAAAAGAUUUUUAAAUGCUACACAUUUAUAUGUAUCUAUAUUAGGCCCCUUGAUUUUUUAGCUUGCUUAGCUUUUUAUUGUUGUUAUCAGAGUAACAGCGAGCACCCUUUAGCAAAGGCCAUAGUGGAAUAUGCCAAGAAGCUCCGCGAGCAAUACGGUUCCAACACUAAUCAAAUUGCAGAAUUGAAGGAAUUUGAGGUGCACCCAGGUGCUGGAGUUAGUGCAAAUAUAGGGGACAAACAAGUUUUGGUCGGUAACAAGAAGCUAAUGCUUUCCUUUAAACUGCUUUUGAGCCCGGAGAUUGAAAAUUGCAUGUUGGAGACCGAGCAACAAGCACGGACAUGCGUGUUAGUUGCGGUUGAACGUGAAAUUUGUGGGGCUUUUGCUGUGUCCGAUCCUCUGAAGCCCGACGCUGGGCGCGUUGUUUCAUUUUUAAAUUCGAUGGGUAUCUCGAGCAUCAUGGUAACUGGUGAUAAUUGGGCUACUGCUACUGCUAUAGCUAGGGAGGUCGGGAUAAACACCGUGUUUGCUGAGACCGAUCCGGUGGGCAAAGCUCAAAAGAUCAAAGAUUUGCAGGUAACUUGUUUUUGCGAUGCUUAAUUUGGUUAUUGAAAAUUCUUAUCACCUCAAGCACUCUUUCAUUUGCUAUUUUGGCCUUGUUAUCCUUUCUAUAUGUGGUUUCUUUCUUUUCUUUUUUUUUUUUUUACUCAAAAUUCAAUAUAGUUCUUUUGAAAGGAUGCCUUAUAUGCCUCUUUAAUCGCAAAUGUUAAAUCGUUAACAAGUAAUUACUGUUCUCUUUUUUCUUAUUCAUGAAUCCAUUUCCUGUUAGCGUCUUAAAUUUCAGCAAAUGGCGAUUUGCACUUAAUUCGAUCCACCUUGCUUUAGCAAACUUCGACCCUUUAAUGCUAUCAUUUUUUUUUUCUCUGGUGGAAGAUGAAUUUAGGCUUUGUUAAGAUGCAAAAAUCAUACUUGUUUUUUCCGCUUUCACUUUUCUCUUUUUUGUAGUGGUAGUGAAUUCGAUUACGUUGUCGUGAAGGAAUCCGUUGUGUGUGUGUGUUGCAUUCGUUCUUUGGUAGACGAAAUUUAAAUCUUUAAUUUCUUUUCUCUUAAUUGAAACAUUCAGGAUAAAGCUUUUUCUUGUGUAGUAGUUGUAGUGCAGACAUCGGCAUAAUUCGAAGUUUGUGUCAUCUUUUUCUAAAGUUUUUUGUUCUACAGAUGGAAGGUUUGACGGUGGCGAUGGUGGGCGACGGGAUCAACGACUCCCCCGCGCUCGUCGCAGCCGACGUGGGCAUGGCGAUCGGCGCCGGGACAGACGUCGCGAUCGAGGCGGCGGACAUCGUACUGAUGAGGAGCAGCCUCGAGGACGUGAUCACGGCCAUCGAUCUCUCGCGAAAAACCCUCUCUAGGAUCCGGAUGAACUACGUGUGGGCCUUAGGCUACAAUGUGCUCGGCAUGCCGAUCGCCGCCGGCGUUCUUUUCCCCUUCACCGGAAUCAGGCUGCCCCCGUGGCUGGCUGGCGUCUGCAUGGCGGCCUCGUCGGUUAGCGUUGUCUGCUCCUCUCUCUUGCUCCAGUCUUAUAAGAAGCCAUUGCAAGUUCAUGAAGAUGAGAAGGGCUCUUAUGAGAACUCAGAUUCGGUAUGAGUUUUAAUCUUUCAUUAUGAUUUUAAUCAAGUGUUUUUUUUUUCUAUUUUUUUCUUUCUUUUUUUUGGGGGUGAAUUACGCCGCGAGUUCCCGUCGCUAAACUGUUAUUCUCGUUACAAUUUGGUCCCAAAACUUUGAUUUAUCCAAUUUGAUAUAACAUGUCAAGUUACUAUUCCUAAACCCUGAGUCGGAAACUUCCGCUGUAAAACCCUAAAUCUCAGUUCAGAGUUUAGGAGUCAAAAGUUUUUCGGACUAAGACUCAGAUUUUCUACUAGUUUUCGAGCACCUUAAUGCGACAAAUCAAAGCUUAGGGACUAGAGUGAAAUUGGAGCAAUAUUUUAGGAACAAAUGGUGUAAUUUACCCCUUUUUUUUUUUUGGUCUUAAUUGAAACUUUCUCAAUAAAGUGGUAGAAAAUUCUCUACUCUUCUUGAAUUGGAUGAUUUUCUACAAUUGUAUAUUAUUGGAUCUUUAAAUGUAGCUUGAUCAAGUUUGAUUCUUGCAACUGCUACUGCAGUAUCUGAAUAUUGUCCAUAUUUUAGUUGGUGAAAAAAAAUGUAUCUCUACAAUUCAUUUUGGAAAUUUUGCCUCCUUUUCUUUUAGAUUUUUUUUAAUUAAUAGACUUAAAAAUUAUUAUAAUUAUAACAAAAAAUUAUUUAUAAAACUAGCUCUGUGCGGUGAAUGAAUUUAGGGAAAACUUCAAAAACCCCCCAUGUGGUUUCGUAGUUUCUCACUUUGCCCCCCUGUGGUUUAAAAUGUAUCAAUUUGUCCCUCUGUGGUUUUUUUUUUUUCUUUUUCUUAUCAAUUUCAUUAUUUUUUUUUUCUUAAAUCAGUGAUAAAGUUAAAAUUAAAGGGUACUAAAGUGAAUAUUUGAUAAAUCUAGAUGGAUAUCUGAAAUUUUUUGUAUAUAAUUUAAUGAAAUAUUAACGAAAAAGCUACCGAAAAAGUAAAAACGAAACUACAGGGGGGCAAUUUGAUAUAUUUAAACCACAUGAGAGCAAAGUGAGAAACUAUGAAACCACAUGGAGGGUUUUUGAAGUUUUCCCAUGAAUUUAAUCACCGUUUUUGAAAUGUGACAAAUUGUUCGCCGCUUUUUUUAAAGCAUUACAAUUAUUUUUAGUGUAAUAUUGCUAUACAUCCUUUGUAGAAAAUAUAUAAAGUUAGGGGAUUGACCUCUUUCUAAAAUAGUAAAUUAUUUAUCUUUUAAGCCUAAUUUUAUAAAUAGAAUUUUAGUUUUAGAAAAUACUAUAAUUAUAAAAAUAGUCCUCUAAAAAAUUUAUUUAUAAAAUUAAGUUUAUGCGGUGAAUGAAUCACCGUUUUUGAGAUGCGACAAAUUGUUCACUCCCUUUUUUUAAAGCAUUAUAAUUAUUUUGAGUGUCAUAAUGCUAUACAUCCUUCUUAGAAAAUAUACAAAUUAGGGGAUCCACAAUUUUCUAAAAAUAGUAAAUUAUUUAUCGUUUAAGUCUGAUUUUUUUAUAAAUAGAAUUUUGGAGGACUAUUAUUAAGGUAAACUUCAAAUACCCUUCUUGUGGUUUCACACUUUCUCACUUUAGUACCCUUGGUUUAAAGUGUAUCAAGUUAGUCCCUGUGGUUUCGUACUUUCUUAUUUUAGUACCAUGUGGUUUAAAGUGUAUAAAGUUAGUACCUUGUAGUUUCAUUUUUUUUCUUUUUAUUAUCCGUUUCACUAAUUUUUUUUGUUAAAUCAGUGACAAAGUUAAAAUUAAAGGGUACUAAGGUGAAUAUUUGAUAAACCUAGGUAGGGUAUCUGAAGUUUUUUUGUAUAUAAUUUAACGAAAUAUUAACGGAGAAAAAAAAUCAGUGACAAAGUUAAAACUAAAGGGUAUCAAAGUAAAUAUUCGAUAAAUUUAGAUAGGGUAUCUGAAGUUUUUUGUAUAUAAUUUAACGAACAAAGGAGCCGACGAAAAGAGAAAAAUGAAACCACAAGAUACUAAAUUGAUACACUUUAAAUCACAGGGUACUAAAGUGAGAAAGUGUGAAAUCACAUGGUACUAAAUUAAUACACUUUAAACCACAGUACUAAAAUGAAAAGGUGCGAAAUCACAGAAGUGAUAUUUAAAGUUUUUCUUUAUUUUUAUAAUUAGAAAGUUUAAUAGAUCUAGCAGUCCAAAAACUCAGUAUUCAGAUCUCUUUCUCGACGAGAUUGUGUAUGAAUUUGUAUCGAACAGAGAGAUUUUUUAUAUUUAAUUUAAAAGUUCGGAGGUCAUAAUAAAACUUGAGCAAAUGUUCAGAACUGAAAUAUUCUACGCACGUAGUUGUAGGGAAUAUGCAUCCCUUGUUAGGGGUAUUAUUUGUCACCAUAUGAUAACCAUAUUACUUGAUAAAGAGCAAUGCUAUUAUGCGCAUUUAUAAAAUAAGUAUAAGAUUCACAUCCUACUAAAAAUUUUGAAUUCUUAAAUAAUGAUCAUAAUAUAUUUUUAUUUUUUCAUUAAUAAUAAAUAGGUAUAAAUGUAUAAAACUUAUCUCAGUUAUCAUCCAUUUAUAUUUGGCCACCUAACAUUUAAAAACUUUAUUUUAUUAUCUGAUCUUUUACUUUAUUUGAUUUGAGACAAUUAGUGAAUGUUUUUAUUUGAAAAUUUUAAUAUAUCGUUUAUUUUUACGAAUUUAGUUUCUAUAACCUUAUGCAAUUUACAUAACUCUGAAUUUAAUAAAAUAUAAGCAAUUAGCUUUAACUUUAUAUCUGAAAAGUUAUCAAAACACUUAAAUUAAAUAAAUUAAAAGAUUUAGAUGCUAAAAUUAAAAUUUUAAAGAAUUAGACAAUCGAAUCAAAAUGAUCUAUAAUAAUGCAAAUAAGUUAGUGAACUUGUUUUCAACAAAUGUCAAAGUCAAACUCUUCUUCUACCUUAUAAACCGACCGGUUUCAUCGGACCGGAAUCCGUGGCCGGUUCAUCCGGAAACGUACAAAACCCGGUCCGGUUCAGUACCCGAAACUAUAUAUAUAUAUAUAUAUAUAUAUAUAUAUAUAUAUAUAUAUAUACACGCAGGGGUAUUGUCGUAAAUGAACACAACAUUAUCGUACCCCUCAUUCUCUCUCUCUCCUCGUUCUCUUCGAACAUCGCCAUCUCUCUCUCUCUCUCUCUCUCUUCGACCUACGAUUGGAUCCUCUUCAUCAUUGAUUCCCCCCAAACCCUAAACCCUUUCUCCGUUCCCGAUUCGAUUGCUCGUGUACGAAACCUACCAUUUCGAUCUCAUCUUCGGUUAGUCCUACCGCAGAUUGGGAUCGUGUAGGGUUCAGGAACGAGGUGUUCUUCGGAUUUCGAGGGUUUUGGAGGUGCGGGGGCGAUGGAUUGGUUUCAAACCGUAAUUGGAACCCUAAUUUGGAGGAGCUAGAGGAAGAUGAAGGCCUAGAAUCCAUGGAGAAUCCGAUGAUGGGCGGAGGAGGCGGGGGCGGCGGAGGAGGAAUCCUCGACUUCGAUCCCCACCACCACCACCACCACCACCUCCGCCACCUCGUCUCCCACCUCCCCCCCACCGCCGCCUCCCCCAGCGAUGACGACGACCCCACCGCCUCCGCCGCCGCCGACGAUGACGGCCACGGGUACGGCGGCGGCGCCGAUGCCGCCCGCGGCGGAGCAAAGAAGGGUGGGUCCUCCUCCUCCGCGCCGUGGCAGCGCAUGAAGUGGACCGACGAUAUCGUCCGCCUCCUCAUCCGCCUCGUCGCCCUCGUCGGCGACGACCCCGCCGCCGCCACCGAGUCCGAUGGCGGCGGCGGCGCCCCCUGCUCUCGCCGCAGGCCCCACGGCGGCGCCGCCGCCUCCUCCUCCUCCUCGUCCUCCGCCUUACAGAAGAAGGGCAAGUGGAAGACCAUCUCCCGCCUCAUGCUCGAGCGCGGCGGGUGCCGUGUUUCCCCCCAGCAGUGCGAGGACAAGUUCAACGACCUCAACAAGCGCUACAAGCGCCUCAACGACAUCCUCGGCCGAGGCACGAGUUGCCGCGUUGUCGAGAACCCUAGCCUCCUUGACUCCCUCACCCAUGUCACUGCCAAGGGCAAAGACGACGUCCGCAAGAUCCUCAGCUCCAAGCACCUCUUCUACCGCGAGAUGUGCGCCUACCACAAUGGCCAGCGCAUCCCCUCCUCCGCCUGCCACGCUGCGGACGUCCUCCAUCCCCCCAAGCCCGCCAAUGAUGAUCAUGGGCAGGAAAAUGAUUGCGACGAUGAUAAUAAUGGAGAUGAGGAUGAGGAUGAGGAUGAUGAUGAUGAGGAGAAUGAGGAUGGGGAUGAUGUAUAUAGAAAGCGGGGGUUUGAGGGCUUCGAUGCUGAUGUGGGCGGUAUACCCCCAUCGGAGCUGAGGGAGUGGUUCAAGAAGAGAGCUUUGCAGCUUCUUGAGGAGCGGGUGGGGAUUGAGGCUGAGGGUUUUGAGAUCGAGAAGCGGCGGUUUAAGUGGCAGAGGUUUAAGAGCAAGAAGGAUCGGGAGCUUGAGAGGUUGAGAUUGGAAAAUGAGAGGAUGAUGUUGGAGAAUGAGAGGAUGCUGAUGCUGGUGAGGCAGAAGGAGUUUGAGUUGAAUUCGAAUCCGGAAGAAGCUUCUGGUGGCGGAUAUCGGAUGGAGGUGGGGAGGGUUCAGUAAGAUUUUCUGGUCACUAUAACUUUUUGACUUGCCUUAAUUAUUGAGAUUGUUGUGCUUGAAUAGUUGGGGGAGGAAUGGAUCUUUAAUUACUACAUCCGACACUGUUUGUGUUGUCCUGUAAAAAGUUGCUGUCUAGUUCCCUCAAUUAUAAAAUUUUACUGUUAAAUUAUUCAAGACGUAGAACCAUUCUUGCAAUUUUAUGUCCUACAAUGUGUAUAUGAUGGGAAGCAAUGGCCAGAGUGAUGAAAUUAACAUUUCAGCGGAAAUGUCUAAAUUUUCACUGAUGAAGUCAGUCGUAAUUGAUUUGAUCUUGUCGUAGAACUUCCAAAACAAGUUUGUUAUAUUACGCUGCCUAUCUUCAACUUGUGAGGGGAGAUUGCUACUAUCCUGUAUGUUUCUUCAUAUAUUUUGUACUUUAGUCUCUUGGUAGCUGCUUUUAAGAGAAUAAUCCCUUAUAAUCGUGUAAUUUUGUCUUACUUUGCAUUGUGUAUUCUAGUUAGUCCUAGGUUGUCUAUAAUCAAUUGAUUUUAGUAUUUAUUUGGAACCUCUUCUCAAAUACGCAAGUAAUCAUGAGCUUUACGUUUUGUUCAUUUGAAGAGAUUCUCCUGUCAUGGGAUUUCUUGUUAUUCUAGUGGACCUCUUUUGUGUUGUCGUUCUUUUUGUGAUCUUUCAUUUGUGAUUUUUUUUAACGUAAGAUCAGAGGAUGUUCUUCUAUUCUUAUUAAUCGUAUAUUAAGAUGCAGAAUAUCGAUUAUUAGGAUAUCUGAUAAUUUGAUUGAGGGUCGGCAAGAUGUUGCUAUUGAAUAUUGAUUAUCGAUGAAAUAUUGGUAUGAGACUAGAUUCUUGUAGUUAUUUAAUAGUUCAAGGUCUGUUUGGAGGCUAUCUCAUUAAUGGGUUAGUUUUGAUUGUCAAUAAAUCUGUAUUCUUUGAGGCAGAUAAACUUUUGAGGUUCGUAAUACGGUAGUUUGAUAAUUUGAAAGAACCAUAUAUCAUUCUUUUUGUACCCUUGGUAAUGCUCUUGCUUUUGUGACAUUCAUCUUAUCUGCUUUCGCAUCAUCUCAUUUUUGAUGGUUCGCAGUGAAUGACAAUAUCUAGUAAUAUAAGCUGCUCACCUUAUGGUUUCUUUAUAUGAACCCAUUUUGGCGGUAAUGUAUGUAUAUCUUCGAGUAAACAGUUUUGAGGCUUACCACAAUUCUGUUUGGAGUUCGUUAACUUCCUAUAUGUACUACCUGAACUAUAGCAUAAUUGGGUAGCUGAACAUUGAGGCCUUGUUUGGUUUUGUUGCCAUUGUCUUUAUUUUUUAAAUACAAAUUCUAUAUAUGUUGGGUGGAUGGUGGAGUGAGUCUGUACAUUUAAGAGGUUUGUUUAGCAAAAAAGGGAAAAAAGAAACUCAGUAUUAACUUCUUUUACUUUUAUGGUUGUUUGAAGAUGAUGCCUUUCGGCAUCCUACUAGGUUGCAUUUAGCCAAUGAUGACAAGAAUAGGGAAGUCCAUCUGUUGACACUAGGGCUGUAAACGAGUCGAGCUCGAGCGAGCUGGAGCCAGCUCGAGCUCGGCUCGAACGUUUUCAAGGCGGCUCGUGUUCGGCUCGAGCUCGUGACGAGCUGGAAAACUCCGGCUCGUGAUCGGCUCGCAACUUAAUCGAGCUAGCUCGUGUUCGGCUCGUUAGCGCCGCUGCUGAAAUUCGCUGCCGCCGGUGCUGUCGAAGUUCGCUGCUGCUGCCACUGCCGUUGCCGUUGCCGCUGCCGAAGUUUGCUGCCGCCGACGAAGUUCGCUGAUGGGGGUUUGCGAACGGCAAAGAAUCCGCUGCCGAGGAUGUGCGAACGGCGAAGAGUGCGCUACCGGCGUGCCGCCAUCUGGGGGUGUGCGAACGGCGAAAGUGCACUGCCGGGUGUGUGAAGGGUGAAAAAGUUGGGAAAAAAUAACUAGGGUUAGAAAUAUAGACAGUUAAAAAUUUAUGUAAUAUUAUCCAUUAGAUUUUAAUCUAACGGUUGAAAUUAUAAAUAUAAAUAGGCCUCUUUUAUAGAUAAGUUGAAUUUUAUUGUUAAAUUGGGUACAAAUUAAAAAAUAAUAAUAUAUAUUGUAUAUUUAUAUGCAAAUAUAUUUAUAUAUUUAUAUAUAUGAAUAUAAUAUAUAUAUAAAAUUUAUAUUAAUAUAAAAUAAAUAUAAUCGAGCUGUUAUCGAGCUGAAUACGAGCGAGCUAACCCUAGCUCGUGUUCGGCUUGUUUAUUAAACGAGCUGAAAAAUUCAGCUCGUGUUCGGCUCUUUACUAAACGAGCGAGUCGAUCUCGAGCUCAUUUCGAGCCAACACGCAGCUGGCUCGCGAAGCGACUGGAUUGCCACCCCUAGUUGACACUCAACCACAUAGAUUUUUUUUUUUUUUUAAUAAAAACAAAAGUCGACAACAAUGCCAAAUGAGGCCAAAAAGUCUUUCUUAUUUGUACCUUAUGUUUCGUUACAUUUUGUUUUCAGGACCUAGCAAGUUCUAUUAAAAACUUAAUGGUUUCCACUGAAUAUUCCAUCGGGAUUCAAAAUAUUGCAUCGGCAAAGUUACAAGUAUUGUCAAACUUUGACCGAGUGUGGAGAUGUCAAUGGGUAUGGAUACCUGAACUUUUAUCUGAAAACAAAUCCAAAUGGGGUGGUUUUAGUCGAAUCUAAACAGGGAUGGUUUGGUGUUGCAGGAAGAAAUUCAAAACUGAACAACUGUGGAUAUGGUUAUGGUUGUGUGUGUGUAUAUAUAUACACACACACACACACAAAGUCACCCUUCUUAAUUUAAUAGGCUCUGUAUCAAGAUUUAUACUCCAUUUUGAGUAAACAGAUUUUGAUAUAAUGGUUCUAUAUCAAAAUGUUAAUUAUAAUAUCGUCUACUUAUUGAGGAUUCAAAUUUUGUUCUGAACUUGAGUAUAAUUUUGCUUAUUGAUAGAGUUGUGAUUUGGUUUUGGGUUGACAGUUUUGUUUCAGGUUUGGGUUUUUCAGGAGAUAUAUAGUUAUAGUUUGGGGUUUUAAAACUGAACGAUUAUGGUUUCAAUUUUGGUUGGCUGGUAUGGUUUUGGUAUGUGUAAAUAGUCAACUGACCUCACCAGUUGACCUCCCUAACUGAGUUGUAUUUUAAUAAGAAAUUAUAAAAAGUUAGGUAUUGAAAUUGAAAUCAAGACUUUCAGAGUUCAGGUAUCCAUUUCAAAUUUUUUAAUAGUUCAAUUUUUUUUUUUUUCAUUUUCUAAUAAUUCCAUUCCUUCUCAGAUCCUCCAAAUUUUGGAGCAUGUAAUUUCUUUCCCUUGCCGACUUAAAUGCUGUUGAUACAAAAACAGUCUUCUAACAUGGUUUCUUGGCCAUUUAAAUCUUGUGUGUAUGAUGAAGAUUCCCAGUCUGUAAAAUUUUAACAGGGCCACUUCAACAGAAUUUGAUACGAAGACUGACCAACUAUUGAUGAUGAGGUGAGUUUUACUUUUUUGUACCAACAAUUUUUUUUUUUUUUUGGAGACAAAUCAGGGUAGUAACACUAGAGUCAGAGGGUUUACAUUGCACCAAAGUAAAUUUUUGUAUUUCAAUUUGAAAUGAACAAAAGUUAGUGAGUUUUUCUGCAACAUAACAGAAACUAUAGUUUGGGCUUCCUGUACUUUUCAGUCUGUUCUCUCACAUUCAAUCAUCUCAUAGUAGUUCUUCUGCUUGCAGCGGCGAAGCAGAUAUUACUAUUCAAGAUACAAGAGUUUUUCACUUCAAACAUUAUUAUUCACAUUCGAAGCAUACACAGAACUAUCUAUGUGUACACGAGUAGCGCCUUUCUUGUUGUUAUCCAUCACACCAUACAUAAGCAGUAGCACAUUUUGAAGUUUUUCUCUACAGGUGUUUGAUGGGGGUCUAAGGGCACUUUUUCUUGCUGCUGCGGGUGGUCAAGCUGGCAUAGCAGGGGCACUGAUCGUAAUUCCCCGAAGUGCCGGGCGGGACGCAGCUGCAGCGCGCACAGCACGUUUUACAGGCUCUCAUGCAGUAAUUCAGCCUCGAUGAUAGCUGGCACCGCCCGCUGCAUGCUGAAUUGCAGUCUGAAAAUGCCAUCAGGUAGACAUUAAACUCUUCCAUGAUUCCAUCAUUAUGCUUGCAUAGCUUACAGUAGGGAAUAUACCUUUGACUGAUAUUAAAAUUGUAGAAAAUCGAAUAUUCAGGUUUGUGUCAUUAUUAUGCUUAGAAUGAGAAGGAUUAGGUCCUUAAUGAAAGGAUUAGGUCCUUAAUGAGAGUAAACUAAAAAAUAGUCUUAAAUAUUGGUAGAUAAUGCUAGAGAAUUUGGCUCUUUUUUCUCCUGGUUCUAAUGUUUGUCAGUUAUAGUUGCAAUUAUUCCUAUUUUAUAGAAAAUAGAGAGGGUGAUAUAAUUUUUCUCAUUGUAUUGCUGCAAAUGACAAUGCAACAAAUUUCUCAUUGACUCUUAAAUAAAUGGUGAGUUUAUUUGUUAUUGAAGGCAUUUUAAAAUAUUAAGGAUGUUAGGCAUCUAAUCAAUUAUUAAGGAUGCCUCAGCUAUGUUUUGCUGCCUUGCAUGUCUACAUUAGAGCCGUCGAUGAGCCGAACACGAGCAACCUCGUCAAAACACCGAGCUGAAAAAUCUAGCUCGUGUUCGCCUUGUUUAUUAACAAGCCGAACACGAACUGGCUCACGAACAACAAGUUAGAUUCUCAGCUCUACAACUGGGCGAAAAGUUGAAAAAAAAAAAGAAAAUUAGAAUCAUAUUCUAAUAGUUGAAAUUCACAAAUAUUGGUCUCUUUACAUUUGGGUUGGCCUAAAAUCCAAAUAGUAGAAUAUAUAUAUAUAUAUAAUAUAUUAUAUAUAUAUAUAUAUAUAUGUAGAGUUGAGCUAGAAUAUCUCCAAAGCACCAUGAAGGUGGUCUUUUGAGUUUUUAGCCAUUGGUUGGGAGAGAUGUGAGGCUGAGAUGAUAGUAGUAAGGUGGUGUGUAGGUGAAAUAGUGUUUGAUCCAUAGGCUAUUAGUAAUCAAGGAGUAGAUCCAAGGGUUAGAAACUUAGAAGCACAAGGGGUUUGGUGGUCUAAAGUAUUCUAGCUCAAUUCUAUACAUAUAUAUAUAUAUAUUAUAUAUAUAUAUAUAUAUAUAAUUGAGCUCCUAUGUUUUUAAAAGUACCAAGUUAUUGAUGCUUGUAGAUUUUUGGCCAUUCUGAUUAAGAGAUGUGAGGUUAGGAUGAUGUGGGUCUCUCCUAGGGUUGAGUGGGUGGUUGGUUGAAUAGUAUAAUCUAACGCGUGAAAUGAUCAAGACGUAGAUUCUAACGGUAAAAAUUCACAACGCUCCAAGAACUUGGUGUGUUUUACAAGCACCAAUAGCCGCAGACUCCAUAUAUAUAUAUAUAUAAUAUAAUAUAAUAUAUAUAUAUAUAUAUUAUAUAUAUAUAUAUAGAGUAGGGCUACUAUACUUAUGAGUAUUGGGCCCUUUGUACUCAUAACUUGUUUCGAUGAUGGAGCUCCGAAUCGACGAUCCAUCUGUUAAAUAUGAUCAAGAGAUUUGAACUUCUAGAAAAUCAUUCGUAAUUUUCGAAAUCAUAUAAAGUCCAUCAAGCGGGCAUAAAAUGAACGGUCAAAAUCGAACGAUGUCUUAAAAAUGGAUGAUCGGAUCCUUCAAUUUAAGAUCAGAAGUUAUUGAUCUUUAUCUAGUAGUGAUAGAAUUUUCUAUAAAAAUUCAACCUAUUCGGAUUCUUUUGCACCGUUAAACUAGCAAGUAUUCCAUACCGGCUAUUAAAAAUUGUCAAUUUUGUGAGCUUUUGAUUGUAAGGUAAAUGAUGUCGAAAAAUUAUGAAAUUUGAUUUCUAAAUGUUUCAAAUGCUCUAGAUAACGUUUAACGGUGUGGAUCGUCGAUUCGGAAGCUCUAUCAUCGAAAUAACUUAUGAGUACGAGAGCGAUCGUACUCAUGAGAGUAGAGUAGCCGGACUCUCUCUCUCUCUCUCUCUCUCUCUAUAUAUAUAUAUAUAUAUAUAUAUAUAUAUAUAUUUAUUUUAGCUAUAUCGAGCCGAACACGAGUGAACUAACCCCAUCUCGUGUUCGGCUCGUUAAGAUUUUGAGCUGAAAAAUUUAGCUUGUGUUCGGCUUGUUUAUUAAACGAGCGAUCGAUUUUGAGUUCAUUUCGAGUGGAAGACGAGUUAGCUCGCAAACAGCAAGCUGGACUGCCAGCCCUAGUCUGCAUGAGUUCUUGUAUGUGUGCGCAUGUACGAUUAGAACAUUUGUGUGUUUAAUCUUUGAUUAGAACAUUAAUAUUUGAAUCUAAAGUACUAAGUAGUCACAGCCGGAUGGUUAAGAACCUGAUAUUCAAGUUGUUAGUGGAUUAGUUGGAACACAUUAAGUAGCAAAUUGUGGUGUUUAGAAUCUGAAAAAUAAGCCUUAAGAUGCUGAAUUAACUAAUUAGGAUAUAAAAAGAUGAAUUCCAACCCAUUGUUGCUAGGAGUGUCCUGGCCCCUUUGCUUGCCUGAAAUGAAUCAUAUGAAAUAAUCAUGAAUAAACAAAUGUACAUUGACAUAUGAGCGAAGGAAAUACAAUAAAAAGGUCUGCAAUCUGCAAAUAAAAUUAUGAUAUUUUCUUAUACUAGUAAGGGUUCGCUUGCGAUGCACGAGUCUACAUGUAAAGAUAAGUUUAACCUACGUGAAAUAGAAAUAAUUAGAGAACUAGCUAAUAAUAUCCUGAGGUAGAAUAGCUGCUAAUCCAAAUUCCACUAAAACAGUGUUUAGUUAUGGACAAAAAUUCUAGAAUUAUUUUAAGAAGAGUUGAGGAUGAGGGAGAGUGGAUCAAAUCCAACUCGACUUGAAUUAGUUGAACAGUUGAAGUAAUUUUGGCCAGUAAGCUUAUUAUCUGUUUUUUGCAUGAGUAAAGUUACUCUCAUCUUCCAUGAAAGAGUAAUCUCCAAUAUAUAUAGAAGUUGAAAUAGCUAUUGAAUUAUAAUUCUCUCACAUACUAACCAGUUGAUGCUCAACUUCUUCAUGUGCUUCAACAGCAAGAUGGUGGAGAGUAAAAGAGAAAGCUAGGAGAAGAGUAAGUAGAAUGAGUUGAGUAGUAGCCAUGGCAAUAGAGAGGAGAAAGAAGUAUAGAAUGGACUUUUUGUUAGUGGGGAAGUGAAUGGUGUGGUAUUUAAAAGAGAGUGGGAGCGGUGGUAACCAUGAUGAAGCUUCUGCUGUAGGGUUAUGGGAUGCACCAAAAAAGUAGAGAGGAUGAAGCAUUCUAUAUUUGUGCACUAGGGUGGCAAAUUUAGCAAAUAGGAUAAGUGGGGCCCUUUAGAUUGUUUAUGCUUUAGAUGAUGGGAGGCCACUUGUAGUGGUUGCUAUAAUUUUUUGCUUAGCUUGUGAUGAUUGCUUGGGUCUAACUCAUGGGGUGGAGAAUUAUGCUUGCUUGAGAAAGAUGUUCUUGUAAUUUGAUCUUAAAUUAAAUUUAAUAGGGACGAAAAUAUUAGUUCUGCUAUCGAUUACGACGGUACCAAGAUCUACUGUUUAGCCAGCCAUGAGCUUCAGUUCUUUAAAACUAGUUUCCCCUCGAAAAUUGUUCGAAGUUGCUCUUCGCAUCCCCUAAUUUUUUUUUAAUAUUAUAAUAUCGUGUUUCAUGCAUUUAUUUUGUAUUUUGAACUAUUAGGCAUUUUCUGUAUCAAAUUUUAGAUGACAUUUUAUAAAAAUUAAACUAUAGAUUGCAUGAUAUUAAGAAUUUCAAAUGGCUCGCUUAGGGUUCGAGCUUGCUCGAUUUGAAGUUAGGCUCGCUCCAGCUCGGCUCGAAUUAAUUUCAAGCUGAACUUGAGCCUAAAUUUAGGCUCAAAAUAAUUUCAUGCCAAGCUUGAGUUGAGGUAAGCUUGCUAAAGCUCGGCUCGUUUCCAUCCCUAGGGAAGGCCGACCAGAUCAGGGCGUUGACCAAGCCGGUUUCUUCUUCGGGACGCGAGUCGGCUCCUAGGAUGACCCUUGAGUGCGCCACUAGCGAACCAAGUGAAUCGGUUGAUGAGGGAUUGGCUCAACUGGGUUCUUCUGCCACUAUUCACAAUUGACCCAAAACAGACUCGGCUGAAUGAGCCAACCGUUAUAUUUAUCGAGAAAGCAGAAUUAUAAGUGCUGUUAUAGAAAUAAAGUCUACUCCUACUUAACCACGCCGUUAACUAUGCUCUUAAAAAGAGAAGUUAACAAGAAAAUUAUAGACUAUCUCUAAGAAAACUGUAAAUGUCGAAAAGAAAGAAAUUGAAAUUUGCUGUGAUCUCUUGCUCGUGUGAAUGACCCAUUUUAUAGACCUGUUUUUUUCCUAUUUAUAACGAUAUCUUCUCCCGCUUGCCAUUAUUGGGUUAAUCUCAUCGUGGAGGUUUCUUCGGCUAUAUUCUGAUUUCCUUAGGUUAUGCUUCGGCCGACUUCUUGCUGGUCACGAAAUCCUUCCUCCACGUCUUCAACCACUCUUGCCUAAACCACCUUUCCAUUUUAGGCGUUCUCCUCCCGGCUCCGGAUGUACCACGUGUCGCUUUCUGUCUCGCUUCCGUCACUUUACUCAUAUGGCUUGGGCUGCUCUACCAAGUGGCGCCAUUUUUAUGGCGCUAAUGCAAUAUAAAGUAUCAAGCUCCAGUUGCAUUUGCCUUUAUCCAAUUAUAAGUGGAAGAUUCUAAACUUUAUUGCUGUCAUGUACUUUUUCUUUAGAAUUCAUAAUGAUACCUAUAUUUAUGAUCUACAAUGAAAAGCUGCCCUAGAAACUUAAUCACCUGCAUUAUUGAUUACAUACCAUGCUUGCGCACUAUGAUUAAAAAAAAAGGAAAGAAAAGAAAAAAAUGCAUAGGACUUAUCUGAACUAUGAAUUAUUUUGAUUUGAAUACUCAAUCUUUCAAAAUUUUGAUUUUAGUAAUCAUCCUUUCAUUUGUUUGAUUUGAGUCAGUCAACGGCACUUUGACUUCAAAUUUUGAAUGUGCCGUUUAUCUUUAUAGGAAUUUGUUAAAGUAAUUAGCUUAAAUUUUGAAGUCAAAGUGCAGUUGGCUGAUUCAAGUCAAACAAAUUGAAAGGUUGGGUAGUAAAAUCAAAAUUUUAAAGAAUUGGAUAGUCAAAUUAAAAUGGUCCAUAAUUUAGGUAAGUUUUGUACAAUGAUUAUGGUGGGUAACACUUAUAUCUUCUAAUGGUUUGUAUACACUCCAAAAUCAUAAUUUGUAUCGUAAAUUUGCACCUUAUGUACGAUAUGUGGUCAGAUGAAAGAGUAGUAAUGCUGUAUGUAUCUUAAAAAGAUACUUUGAUGAAUCAGCUUUGAACACGUAAUACCGAGUAAUUAUAUUCGCUUUAGAGGGCUAAUGUGUGUGUCAAAUAUUAUGUUCAAAAUUUUGAAAUCCAAUCGAGGCCCAUGGGAUUUGUCGAGUUCGAUAGGCAUUGCAAAUGCCUAUCAUUCGCAAAUAUGCUCUAAACUAAUCGCUAGCAGUCUUGCCUAUAAUGUUGUGAUAUUCUGUCGUAUAUAAACUAUUAUUUGUGAAAGCGAAACGAGAAGAAAUAGUAAAUCCUUUAAGAAAAGGAACUACUUUUUCGCUUCCUAUUGUAAUAAUCAUUUGUUCUUGCACAUUAACCAUUUGAGAAUUUGCUCUUCUAUAGGUAUACAUGUGGGAUACACUUUACAUUGUGUCAUUAAACCCACCAAGAAGGGGUAAAUUGCACCCCAAAGUCCUCCACCCCUUUUAGCAAACUUUUUGCUUGGUCCUCAAUCAUUCAUUUUUUACAAUUUGGAUCGUAGUUAUCGUCCCGCAUUUCAUUUUUUCCGUCCAUUUAACGAAGUUUACGUCGAAAUGCAGAGGUCGGGGAUCAGAUUGUCAAAAUUGAAAGGCUGAUGACUGAAACUGAAACAAGAAUAGUCAGAUGCACGGAGGAGGAACGACGAGGCCGCUCGAGACGCCACCGACGACGUUGGAGCACGAAGCCAGCGCCGGCACGCUGUGCUCGAUGUACUUCAAAUUGAUGUCUCUCAGCUCCACAUUUUGGCAUGGCACAGCUUUGCUGCAUAAGAGCUCAACUGCAACCUUUGAUGUUGAGAUCCCUCUUAUGUUUCUGAAUUUGAUGUUGCUCAACUUAACCAUUGAGGGGAACUGCAAUUAUCAUCAAGCAUUCAUUGUUAAUUUAGUUUAGCAAAUGAUGUAGAAAAUACUUCGUAGUAAGACUACACAUGUAAUUUGAUGAUUUUACAGGGAGAGUUGAACUUCUGUGCUGUGCCUUUAAAUGCACAGGAGUAUUUGUAUUUGUGGCUUUUUAGCUGUCAAAUCGUCUUAAGAUCUGUGCAACACUAUUAACGGUGCGUUCCAUUAAGUCACCUUUGUUAUUGCUGCAUGGAUUUUAAGAUAGUCCGACGGCUAAAAAAUUACAAGCACGUUGAGCUCGUGAGCUUUUAAAAGCACGGGAGCUCAACUCUUGCAUGGAUAUAUAUAUAUAUAUAUAUAUAUAUAUAUAUAUAUAUAUAUAUAUAUAUAUAUAUAUAUAUAUAUAUAUAUAUAUACAAAAANNNNNNNUAUAUAUAUAUAUAUAUAUAUAUAUAUAUAUAUAUAUAUGUGUGUGUGUGUGUGUGUGUGUGUGUGUCCGAAAAAGAAUCUAGUCUCACCGUCGCGUCGCAAGAUUCGUAAGGACAGUACUUCUGAUCAAUGAUGAUGGGAUUGCGCACGUCCCGCAUCAAGAUGUCCUCGAACAUGAAGUUCGAGGCGGAGCUGCGCGGCGAGCUCUGCCACGUCUUGAUCCGGACACCGUUUGUGGUGCCCGUCAGGGUGCAGUUCCUCACGCGGAGCCCGGAGACGUCUUCCUCGCCCGCGUACUUCCCGAGGCUCCCCACGCUUAUGCCGUGGCCCGGGCCGCAGAACACUUUGGAUAUCGAGAUGUUCCGGUUGCCCGGGCCGACCGAGACGCAGUCGUCGCCGGUUGCGAUGUUCGAGUUUCUGAUGGCGACCCUCGUCGAUCCGCCGAUGUGGAUGCCGUCGGUGUUGGGGCUGUUUUCUGGGGCUUUGAUCUGGAUGUGGUGCAGGUUGAUGUUGCUGCACUUGAAGAUGAUCAUGUGGAAGAAUUUGCUGUUCAAGGAUGUGAGGCUCCUGAUGGUUGCAUUUGUCACAUGCCCAAAUUUUAUGGACUGGAUCAUGUUGAAACAGAGGUAGGGUUAGGGUUUUGUUAGUUAGUUCUCCUUGUGAGGUAGUUUUUUUUUUAAAAAAAAAUUCUCAAGAAGGAAUAUGAAGAAAAAUUAUUGUAAAAAAGAGAUUGAUUUUGGGUUAUUUGCUGUUGUUGUUAUUGUUGUUGUUGUUGUUUACAUAUGUGAGUUUAUGGAUGCAAACUUGACGGAUCUGGGGUGGGAGGGGUCCCCCUAACUUCCACUUCACUUAUUGUUGGAUUGGGGUGGAUUUGGGGUGGAUUUGGGAUGGGUGGAUUUGGGAUUGGGGUGGAUUGGGGUGGAUUUGGGAUGGGUUAAUUUUGUUGGAUUGGGGUGGAUUUGGGAUGGGUUCCCCUAACUUCCACUUCACUUAUUGUUGGAUUGGGGUGGAUUUGGGAUGGGUUAAUUUUAACUUACCGCUCCAUUUGGAGUGAAUUGGGGCAUGAGCGUUUUUUUUACAGAGUACGAAAGUGAUAUACUUUAAAUCACAGGGUAUUGAAGUGAGAAAGUGCGAAAUCACAGGAAUGAUAUUUGAAGUUUUUUCUAAAAAAAAAAUUGAAGGGUAAUAACAGAAAGAUGGGGGUUUAAGAAGCCAGGCAAAUCUUACAAUGGGGAGAGUCUUGCAGUCUUUCUUUUGAGGGCACUUGUUUUGAGGCCAGGCUGCUGCACCUUGCCCAUCAAACAUACCACCCCCUGUGAGGAGCAGCCCAUCAAUUUGCUCAAACUUGAUCCACUGCUCAUCAUUGAAGAGGCUCAACUCCUUUGGGGCCUUCAACACCCCCUUGAUUUGCACCACCACCACAUGACCCUUGCAUGGCCCCUUGAACACCAAUGGCUUGACCAUGUACACCCCCUUUGGAACAUAAACCCUAGGUCUCCCCUCUUGUGUGCAUGCCUUCUCCCAUGCUCCAAGUAAGGCCUUCCUUACAAAAUGGUUUGAAUCAAAAUUCAAAAACAACAUUUUGUAAUCAAUGGAGUUAUGACAUGUUUAGCAAGAUGUUUUAAAGUCGCUUCUUCAUUUCGGGAGGUAGGAAUUAUAUAUAUCUGAUUAUAAACAGUCUCGAGCUUCUGCUGUGGGAAAAAGCUAGCUGCAAUAUAUAAACUCUAGGGCAUCGCACGAAUCAUUCUAUUAGUUACUAUCAUAUGAGCUAUAAUUUGAACCAAACUUUUGGCUCAAAAUUUUAUAUGGAAUUUUCUUAAAAACACAAAAAACUACAUUCUAGCAUUGAAGAUUGAAACUUCAGCCAAAAUUUGCAAUUUGCUUACCUGAGAACUAUCCGAUUCGCCAUCGGCGACGGCUCCGAAAUCUCUUACAUUGAAAACAUUGUUAGCCUGAGUUGCAUCAACAUUACAAAUGGGCAGAAGCAGAAGCAACAACAAGAAUGCCAAGAAAGGCAAUGCCAUUUCUCUCAUGGCCUUCUUCAAGCUCCAAUUCAUGAAACCACAAGAGAAAUAGCUGAUGGAGACCCUCCACCAUUUUUGGGUUUCUUUUUAUAGUUGGUGAGAGAGGGGAGUUUCUCAACUGGUGUUGUUAAGGGGUGCACUCUUUUGGUGUAUUGUUAUUUUCUCUUUUUUUUUUUUAUGUUUGGUUUUACUAUUCAUAGGAUGUCCUCUUGUCAUGUACCCACAUUUUUCUCUUCUUGGAUGCCUAAAUUUUCUCUCCUCUUGUAGUUGGUGUGGUGAUUUUUGUAACCAUUGGUUAGGGACUCAUAGAUGUUAUUUUUAUUUUUACUUUUUGUUUUUUUGAGAGAGAGAGAGAGAGAGAGAGAGAGAGAGAGAGAGAGAUGUAACAAACUAUCAGUUUCGUUCAUUUUGUAAAAACGAAACUAAGCUAGAAAUGUCAAGUAAUUAGGUUUUAGUCUGGGAUCUCGGAUACCAAUUAUAAAACCCUUAGCCAAGAUACGAUCAGUUCUCAUCAAUGUAAGUUAGAACCUUAACCAAAUGCAGUUAUUUUGAUACUUUUAAAAUUCGUAAGAAAAAAAAAAAUAAAAACUCUUUGGGACUCUGAUCCUCCAAUGCUGUAGAAUGGAGGUGGGAACAUUUAUUGUAGGAGCAUUCAAUGACAGUGAUGUAAUAUCUUAAUUAUUGUCAUAUCAUCAACAAUAAAGGGCCGUUUGGUUGCAUAUAGUUGUAAUUACAAUGCAGUUGUAAUUGCAUGUAAAUACAAAUUUGGUGUUUGGUUUGAUAUAUUUAACUCCAACUGCUACAAUAGGAACUGUAGGAGGAGGCCCAACUGCAGCAGUUCGAACUACGUCCAAAUUGGCCGCAGUUCCAAUUGCAGCAGUUGGAAAGAGUAACUUUAAAUAAAAAGUAUGCUUACCUCCUCAAUAUUUUUUAAACAAAAAUUAUUAUUAUUAUUUUUUACAUUGGAGGUAAUCUCACUAUUAUAUAUAUANAUAAUAUUGAAAAAUAAAUACUAGUCAAUUACCAAAUUUGAUAAACUCUAAACAAAAAUUUUUUCCUUAUUUAAUAUUGUUACUUAUCAAAUUACAUAGUGGCUAAUCUGACAAGUAACAAACCUUCAUAAAAUUGAAUUUAAAAUUUAAUUUGAGCUUAAACUUUAUAAUUAUAUACAUUAAAUUUAAAUUUAAUUCUAAUUUUCAGAAAGAAAAAAUUUAUAUUUAAAUGAGUAGUAUAUUUCAAUUCAAAUUGUUAAUUCAAUAUUAAAAUAACAUGAAAGUUCAAAAAUAUUAAUCUAUUUUAAAUUGUAAGUUAUGUUGUACUUAUAAACCCAACUUUUGUUAUUUAUUU
rnacentral:lncRNA from 1 species